rnacentral:lncRNA from 1 species
UUGCUCCUUCAUUCCUUCCCUAAUCCCUAGGUGUGUGUGGCCGAUUCUUCCAUUGCUUCAGCUGCUGCAGCUACCUAGCAACCACAAAGCACAAUAAUGGCCACCGCCCUCAGCAGCCUCCGCGCGCCGGCUUUCUCCGUCCGCGCCGCCCCGGCGCCGGCGCCGGCCACCGUCGCGCUGCCGGCCAAGGUCGCCCGCGGCGCCAGGCUGCGCGCGCAGGCCACCUACAACGUCAAGCUCAUCACCCCCGACGGCGAGGUGGAGCUCCAGGUGCCCGACGACGUCUACAUCCUCGACCAGGCCGAGGAGGAUGGGAUCGACCUGCCCUACUCGUGCCGCGCCGGCUCCUGCUCCUCCUGCGCCGGCAAGGUCGUCUCAGGCUCCGUCGACCAGUCCGACCAGAGCUUCCUCGACGACGGCCAGGUCGCCGCCGGGUGGGUGCUCACCUGCCACGCCUACCCCACCUCCGACGUCGUCAUCGAGACGCACAAGGAGGAGGAGCUCAUCUAAGAAGCUCGAUCACUACCUGCUACGCGCUUGCUAUAUCUAGUAUCUGUCUUGCUCUUGCAAGAGAUCGAGUUUGACGACGCCGGACAAUUCCCUUUCUUGUAUCAUGCAUGUCAGUGUCACCAUGAGACCUUGCAAUUAAGCAUCGGCAUCAGCAGCUUCUCCAUCGUUUGUUACUCUGCUUAUUGCUGGUCUCUGUAUCAUUCAUUUUUACUGCGGAUGCAUGAUAGGCUUCGCUCAAGUAAUUAAUAACGUUUUUCCUCUUUAUUUUUGUACAACCAAUACAUAUAUAUACUAUAUAUAUAUACAUAUAUAUACUAUAUAUAUGUGUGUGUGUGUGUGUGUACGUAUGUACCUGACUAAACGUGCUACGGAAAUGCAGCUUGAGUAGUCGUCUGAAUCUGAUGCUAUUUGUUAUGCCAUGCUAUAAAAUGAUUCAAAAGAAAGCAUGUGUGGACUUGGCUAGCUAGUUUAUCGUGACCACCAAGAUCAACGGGGAUAUAUGUGUGUGACAGAGUUACUCAAAUUUAAUUUAUUUUUGAAAUGUUUGUUCAAAAUUUUUUGUUGCUCUUGGAUAGAAACCUAAGGCCCAAACCAACAAAUUAUAACAUGUAUACAAAACUUCCUCAACAUGUGCCAACCCCCAUCCUCCCACACACCACACAAUCGCAAGCACCCCUCGCACCCUCUCUCCGCCUCUUGCCUUAGCCUACCUCAUCUCAAAGCUUGAGAGUUCCUUUACCCCUACCAGGUGCAUAGUCCCCCUCCAUGUCACUAUUCGUCGAACCCUACCUCAUAUCAAAGCUUGUGAGUUCCUUUGCCCCUACCAUGUGCAUAGUCCCCCUUCAUGUCACUAUUCGUCGAACCCUAUUCAAAAUGGAUUAAUUUGACAAUACUUCUCGUAUCUCAAUCUCCUGGAAGUGAAGCAAGAUUCAAUUGACAUACAACACGGUGAAUUUCCUUUGGAAUAUAGUGUUUUGGAGGUAGUCCCCUGGUCUUUAAAGAAAGCUCAAUUAGGGCUGCAACCUAGCCUAAGCUAGUAGCGACUGCAGACAGCACGCUGGAAGGUGGGACAAUGAGGGAUACCGUUAGGCUGGUUGGGAGGAGAUGCCCAACGGGAGGUGCUAGUCAUGGGGAAAUGUUGUGAGAACUGAGAAGUGCUGGUUAUGGGAGAAUGUCAUGAGAACUGAGAAGUUACAAGGAAGAUAAAAUGCAGAUUGAGAGGAGAUAGAAAAGAAAGCAAUCACUGGAUCCAAAUAUGAUGGCUGAGGUUGUCAAAUGAGAGGACUAGCUCAUUUGAGAUGCGACACUAUCCCCAUCCUCCCCCACACACACACACCAACACAAGCACCCUUUAGUAUCACGCUCACAACCUUCCUCCACCCCUUGUCUUACCAGGCCGAGGAUAAUUGGAUCUUCCUAGGGGAUUUCAAUUUCUACAUAUCUCUGGAUGACAUGAACAAAUUGGGUGGUAAUUUUCUGGAUACCUUGCUAUUUAAUGACGUCAUUGGGCAGCUGGGCCUCAUUGAAUUACCAAUUAAGUGAAGGACUUUUACCAGGAGCAACAUGCAGCAAGAUCCUUUACUUGAGCAACUUGAUUAGUUUUUCACCUCUGUUAACUGGACAUCCUCAUAUCCCAACACCAUGGUUUUACCACUUGCUAAGCCCAUCUCAGAUUAUGUACCACUUGCUUAUAAGCAAUUGUGUUCAUUGGUGUGGACUCAAUAACAGAUGCUGGGCCACUAACAAGUUAUCACCUACUGCUAAAGAGUUGAGCUCGAUGUUGUUAUCAUUUUAUCGGAGUGAAUUGAGACUUGAAAGUCCAUGUUCGAUUAUAUGACGUCUAGUAUUUACUUGCUUUUAAGGACGCAAACAAGAAAAACAGGAUAUGCAAUAGAAAAAUUAGAGUUAGUCUCACCCUAGGGUUCGAGUUGCCGAUCCCUGGCAACAGCACCGGAAAAGCUUGUUGGCGGCAGUUAGCGCAUCAAUUUGUGAAUCACAAGCGCACGGAUUAUCGUAACUUUUUCCUUAGAGUAUUCCAUCUAAAGUUUAUCAAUCCGUAGUUCAGUAGCGAACUGACUAGAGUUUUCCACCUAAUCUAACGGAGCAGGCACUAGUUUUUAUACUGAUACUAUAUCGAUGGUUAGCUUUCCAUGCCAUAGUUUUUGCAGCAGGCUCGCUAGUUUUUGCUGACCACCCACCCACCCAUCACUCAUCACCAGGGAGAGAAGAAAAGAAGAGAAAGAAAAGAAAAGAGAAAAGAGAUCCAUGGUUGGCAUGGAAAGCUAACCAGCGAACUGACUAAUUUUUCAUACAUGUAAAAUUACGUGUAAUUUUAGAUCUCUGGCCAGAUACACAAAAAUUGACGAGAACCACAUGAUACCGCCAACUGCUAAGGACCGAAAGAAGCAUAUGCCCUGGAUCGAGGCCGUGGCCUCCACAUGCCACGCUCAACCAACCAAUGGGCAGUGACUGGCGCACACAGUCUAUUUUCUACUCCUUCCGUUCAUGUUUGUAUAUAAGGCGUAUGCGCAUAUCAAAUGUAAAAGUUUGCUAUCUUUGACCAAUAAUUUAACCAAUAUUUUUUUAUUUUUAUGGUAUAAAUUUGAAAUGGUUGGAUUUGCAAUCAAAUGUAUUCUCCAAUGAUUAUAAGUUUAUAAUCAUAAACAAUAUAAUAUAAGAUAAAUUAAUGGUCAAAGUGUAAUUUGGGAGUACGUGCCAUGCCAUAUCACGCCUUAUAAAAAUAAACGGAGGGAGUACGUGAGAAUACAAUGAAUACUACUUUCUCUGUCACUAUUUUGAGUAAUCACUAUAAAAAAUAACCUCUAUUGUCGGUUCCCAACCCCCCUCUAGUACCGAUUCUGCAACUGGUAGCAAUCCUGUACUCGAGGGGGAUCCUCUAGUACCGAUUGAGAUAACUUGUACUAGAGGGUGUUAAAAAAUUGAAAAAGAAGAACCCCCCCUCCCCCGCCGGUCCCGGCCUCCCUCCGCCCGCCGCCAGCCCCCUCCGCCUCCACCUCCUCCUCCCCCUCCUCUGCUGCACUCUCCCAUCACCGCCUCCUCUCCGCUCCCUGCUCCACCCCACUGCUCCCGCUGCCGCGCCCCUCCUGCGUCGUCGCAGCCGCCCCGGCCCGACGCCGCCACUCCUCAUCGUCGGUGAGGGGCGAGCGGAGGAGAGGCAGAUCUGGGAGAGGGAGUGUGAGGGAGGAGAGUAGAGGAUAGGAAGAGGAGAGGGAGUAUGAGAGAAGAGAAGGAGAAGUGUACUGGAUGAGGAGAUAAUGCAGACGCGGUGUGAGUGGGGGAGGGCCGGCGGCAGACGGGGCUUUAGUAUUGGGUGGGGUUUCCAACCACUAAAAGGGUACUUUAGUACCAGUUGGGAACCCUACUCGGUACAAAAGGACCUCUGGCAAAUUUUAACAUUAGUACCGGAUUCAAAUGUGAUCAGUGGGGAGAAGUUAUAUUUUUACUAGUGAAUUUCAUGGUCGGAGAAUUCUCGAUGACGUUUGGAGUCUAGCGUGUGGCCCUGCUGUAUUUCGACUUUCGAGUAGUUGAUUUCCCCCACGGAUGUCGUCCUGGUCCCGCCAAGAAGAUAAGCCUCCCGCCCUCCCCUUCACGCUACACCCACCCCGACCCUUCAUUUCACCUCAUCUCGCUUUUAGCUACCUAUAAGCUAUCAUCAUUAGCUGCUGCUCGCCUCUGCUAAUAGCUCCAACUCCUCCAGCUCCAAGCUCUCCCUUCACUACACACGCCGCAAGUCCGCAAUGGCCACCGUGCUCAGCAGCCUCCGCGCGCCUGCCUGCUUCGCCCUCCGCGCGGCCCCGGCGCCGGCGCCGUCCACCGUCCCGCUGCCGGCCAAGGCUCCCCGCGGAGCCAGGCUGCGCGCGCAGGCGACCUACAACGUCAAGCUCAUCACUCCCGACGGCGAGGUGGAGCUCCAGGUGCCCGACGACGUCUACAUCCUCGACCACGCCGAGGAGGAAGGGAUCGAGCUGCCCUACUCGUGCCGCGCCGGCUCCUGCUCCUCCUGCGCCGGCAAGCUCGUCUCCGGCAGCAUCGACCAGUCCGACCAGAGCUUCCUCGACGACGACCAGGUCGCCGCCGGGUGGGUGCUCACCUGCGCCGCCUACCCCACCUCCGACGUCGUCAUCGAGACCCACAAGGAGGAGGAACUCAUCGUCUAAUGUAUAUGCCUACGUGCUCCUAAUGCUAUGCUUGCUUAAUACAUCGUGCGUGCUAGUGCAAUUACUCAAUAAGCGUUGUAGACUUCAACCAUGGAGAGACGUCCUACUCUAUGUACUAUGAUGCAUUUCGUUUUUCUUGCAUGCAAUACAGUAGCUAUUUGGUUUGCAAGUGUUGAGCUAAUGUAUGAUGGUUUAUCUCGCUUAGCAUUUUGUCCAAGAAAUUAAUACUCCACGUGAGAUUUGCUACGUGGUUAUCAAGAAGUCUGAACCUUAAUGAAUCGCUCGUUUAUGUACGAUGAAUAACUAAUGGCAUGGUUAAAUGGAUGAUAAGCAGGAUUAUCUUUCCUGAUCAUUGUGCUAAGAUGAAAUAGGACUAUAUCAAAAGGAGAAUGGAGGGAUUAAAUCGAAUACAUAAACAAGGCACCUACAUGCCCGAGUGGUAAGACACUGAGAUUGUGGCUGCUUAGAUCUUGAGUUCAUUGCCAUCAAUUAUCCACAAAUCCCAUUCUUUUUAUUCUUGAGUCCAUUUCUCUCAUUUAGUCUUUUUAUCCAAGUAAUAAAUCAUCAUAUACAUACGGCCCGGACACCUAUACGCUCGAGUGGUAAGAAACUCAUAUUGUGGCUGCUGAGACCUUAAGUACAUUGACAUCAACUAUCCAACAAUUUCCAUUUCUCGUUGAAGAAGUUACUACCUCCGUUCGAGAACACUUUGACAUUGUUGUUUUCUUCUAAAGGUCUCUGUACCGAGCACCCUCCAGUUUCCUCGCUCUCCCAUGUAGGGACAACUGUUGUCCAGUAAUUAACUUCAUAGCUUGUUUGGUGGUCUUGUAUGCAAACUCCCAAACAAGGGUAUUGUGUACUUAGAAGCCCACAUACGAAUGUUACGGCCCAUGGGCUCUCGUUGGACUUUGUUUAACGUGGCUUGUUGAUUUUUUUUUAAAAAAAGGGAACGGUGCUCCUUUUCGAGUUUGUGUUUCUUCGUAAGAGCAACAUUGUCAUCAUCCUUGGAUAGUUGGAUACUUGGAUUGGAUAUCAUUUAACUUGGAUGGACGGCAAUCUGGUAGCUAGCUAGGGAUUAGAAAGAAAACGAAAAUCCGGAUCCUCUACACAGCUCUGGAAAGUAGCUGCCUUAGCUGCACGUAUAAAGCAUGCAAGAGAGGAAGCAUGGCAGGUGCACAGCGCAACACGAGGGCAUGCAGUGCGGUGGCGAGCCACGUCGCCGCCGCAAGGACAGUGAGGUGUCCUCGACGCGAGCCUUCGCCGCUCCAACUUUAAAUACGCGAUCCAAGAACGUCGUAACCAGUCGUCGUCAACACUCAACAUCACCGAUCAGACUUGCUGUAACCAUAUCCCAUUACUACUAGCUUCCGUGCAGUGCUGCGUGUCGGUGAUCCGAUCGAUUAUCGACGACGAUGGCGCAGAGGGAGCGUGAUAUGCUGAUGAAGCACGGGACGGCGCGGACCAAGGUGGCCGGCGACGACGAGAUGCUGCGGACCGGCUUCCACAACGGCACCCCGCUGGAGGCCGGCAAGAUCGCCGACUCUCAGCCCGUCGACCUCUUCGCCCCCGCCCCCUCGCAGCAGCAGCAGCAGCAGCAGGAAGACGACGAUGGCCGUGGGAGCAGCAGGGUCAUCGCGGAGUCGGAGCCCGUGGACCUGGCCACGAGCGCCCGGGGCGUGGCGGAGGCCGCCAACAACGGCAACAACCCUGCUCCGCCGCCGUCGCAGGGGCGGCAGGGGAUGGCCGCCGGUGGACGUCGCCUCGGACGCCAGGCCUAAGUUAUUGGUCAAUAGCUUAGCAUGCAGUAUGACUGUUAGUAGUAGCUACUAGCAUCUUUCCAUCUCCUGUAUUAUGAAGAAAAUAAGGCCGCCGGCGGCUGUUGUGUCGUCGUCUCUGCUGCAUGCGUUUUCUUGUCACCAACACUCUGUUUUCUCUUAUUUAAAAUAAACACUUUUGUGUUGAGGUGUCUCAAAUUUUUAUUACUCCCUUUGUGUCCUAGCAUGUGUGGUAGUUUGGAUUUGCUUUGUUUCAUAGAAAUGUAUUACUUUUUCUCUACCUGUGCUCAUAUCUGUAUCGAAUCUACCCAAGCAAUGAGGCAAUGUUGGGUCAGGGAUCCCGCUUCAAUUUGGCACGCAAGGGAUAAAAAAGGGGAGACAAAAUGAUAAGGGCACCCGCAAUGGGCCACACCCUGCGCUGCGGCGCUGUCGCCGGCCUCUCCACCGUCGUCAACCCCGGAUCGGCGACACCCCCAUCCUGGGCGCCGGCACCUACGCCAACGCGCUCUGCGCCGUGUCGGCCACGGGCAUCGGCGAGGAGAUCAUCCGACAGAACAUGGCGCGCGAGGUCGCCGCCGUCAUGGAGCACCGCGGCCUGCCGCUGAGGGACGCCGUCGACCGCGUCGUCGGCGCCGCGCCGCCCGAUACCGCCGGCAUGGUGGCCGUGUCGGCCCAGGGGGAGGUGUGCGUGAGGUACAACAUCAUGGGCAUGUUCCGGGCGUGCGUCACCGAGGACGGCCACACCGAGCUCGCCGUCUGGACGGAGGACAUCCCUAUCCAUGCUGAUCCUGAUGCUGGUGCAGCAGCAGCAGCAGAAGAGCAGAUCAUGGAGACGACACUGUCAGCAGCGGCCUUGCGCCGUAAAACAAUUUCGUCGUCUCUCUCGUGCAGUCGUGCUGCUAUAUGUACUUUCGAUAAUCCAAUAAAACAAUUCCGGCAUUUGCAUCGAUCAAAGGAUGCGAAUGUGAUGUGAUGCCAAGAACCUGUUUGAUGUUUGUUUCGGUGCGUGUUUGGGAAAGAAACACCUGAUUUGGUUUUCAGGCCUUGUAAUCGAAGGAUUUUUACCGUGAAGAGAAAUGCAGCUCAUCCGAACACUUUAGAUAAUAAAAUAAACACGAUUAGUAUGUCAUUAAAAACACUUUUCUAGUAAUACCGAUCUAUGUUGUGAAGUUUCAAAGUGUGCUUCUGACUUCAUACUUCCUUAUGAUGCUGACAACGUAAUAACUGAACACCUAAUUAUAAUUAAUUAUUCAAGUAAUUCGUUUUAAGGUUUUAUAGAUGCAUUAUUUAUUAUUUAGAUACAUAGUAAAAGUUACGUAUAGUAAAAAAAGUUACAUGAAUAAUAAUUUGGGACGGAAGUUACACGAAUAAUAACUUGGGAGUAAAAGUUACGUAUAGUAAAAGAAGUUACACGAAUAAUAAUUUGGGAUGGAAGUUACACGAAUAAUAAUUUGGGACGGAGGAAGCAGAACUCUGUCAAACUAAACUAAGGGACGGAGUAGUCUCUUGCGCAUGUAACGUGUAUAUUUUUCGUAAAAAUGAAAAUACACAUAAAAAGACUAAUAGGCUAAUUUGUGAAGAGGCCCAUCAGAGAGCCCAGCACACCGAUUUACUACUUGCUGCUGGCUGUAAAGUGAGUGCCCGUGAAUCCUAACAGGUUUUCGGUGUCUGGGAUUUGUACUGCCGUACGAUCACCUUCGUCUCUGCUCUUCUCGAGCUCACUUGCUCGGUUCAAGCAGGUGAGCGGGAGCGGCUCGGCAACUGCUGGUCGUAGUCGAGGUCGGCGGUGGUGGGUGGCGGCCGGCGAAGUUAGAGUUAAGGUUUGAUUUUUUUUUUCGGAGGCUUUGAUGGUCACCGGCCUUAGGGAGAGGUCGGCGCGCGGCGGCGGCUGCAGUGGUUUGGCCGGCGGCAGAGAUGAGAUGGCGCGGGAGUUCCGCCGGUCGGGAGGGAACGGUACAUUGGGCUGUGUUCGGUGGCAGGAAAAUUACGAAGGACGAGGUGAAAGGUCAGCGGUGGAUGAUAGCCGGAGGCACGACGGCGCAGCAGUCACCAGCCUGGUAUGGUGGAGAAGGAGGCGUCGGUUACGGGGAAGAAGACGACCAAGCCGGCGCUAUCUGGCUUCCACCUCCCUCCCAAUCACUAUUGGAGCUCGGAUCCGACGGUCCCAUCCCUUCGCUGCCGCCGGCGACCACUUCGCCUUUCCGUGCUCUCUCCUCCGGUCCGAUCCGAUCCGACCACAAGGUAUGUAGUCGACGUGGCGCCUUUGACUCGAGCGCGCCCGGGCUUGGCCCCACGGUAGUCUAUCCUUUGGUCUCGACGUUGACCGUCCGGCUCGUGCGCGGUGGGCCCGCGUGGGCAGGGGUGAGGUGUCGCGCGUCCAGAAGUUUCGCAGCCAACCCGUGGCUCUCGCCGGGAGGACACGUGGCGGCGACGGCGGCAGAUUCCGCCGUCUGUCCUGUCAGGACGCCUGCUGCUGCUGCUAAAUUAUUGCCCUGUUGUUCGCUUUCAUUGCUCCAUUGCUUAGUUAAGUUCUCGCAGCCGGAUCGGACCAGCUGGCGGGGGUGGAGGAGGCGGCGGUGGGUGGCCGGGUGGUGCCGCCGGCGCUGGCCCGAGAGCCCAGGUGACGGUGAUGGCUAGCGCCGGCGUCAACAUGCCCGGCGGCGACGGGAACCCAGGUGCUGCAUCGUCGUCCUCCACCACGGAAUGCCGGCUGCGCAGGCGCCGCCGCCUCGCGCCCCCGCGCGCCACCGUGGCCGCCGGGGGGCCCAGCGAGGAGAAGCGCGUCCGGCCGUCGUCGGCGUCGGAGGAGGAGGAAGGGCAGGAAGGAGAGGCAGACGCGGUGCUAAAGGAGGAGGAAGAGGGGGGAACGCAGCAGCAGCAGCUGCCGCUCUCGGCGGCUGGGCCGCAGCCUCCGCCGUCCCCCGGCGCAGCGGCGCGGGCGUGGCCGGUGGCGUUCGGGUGGCUGUCGGUGGCGGGGCGGUCGCGGGAGAUGGAGGACGCCGUGUCGCUCCGCCCGGGGUUCUGCACCUGGAUCGAUGGCUCGCCCAUGCACUUCUUUGGGGUCUUCGACGGACACGGCGGAUCCCAUGUACGUACGCCGCCUCGCCGCCGGCGGAACUUGUCUCUCGUUCUUAUCUAAUAAGUAAUUAACCUCAGCUCGUCUACUAAUCACUCACCGUUUUGUUUGUUAACAAGAUAAGAAAGAUUUCAUGCAUGCUCUCGAUCGGUUACUCAGGAUCUAAAAGCUUUACUUUAAUUUUUAUCUAGCCUACUGUAAGUAAGUCGUCUGCAGCUUUUGGUUUUCACUGCUAGUACGGUUGGUGCAAGAAAGAAAGAAGACGACACCAUGAAUGCCAAAUGCAAUGCGUGGCAGCAAGUUAGUCGAAUGACAGGGUGCUGUACGUGUCCAACCAACAACACAUUGGCCACAUUCCAGCACCUUCCGAAUUCGACCAAAGUACUGGCCAAUCCAUACACGGAUACACCUAAGUAGGAGUACGCGUGUCAUAUUCCUCAAAGUAGCUAGUCAUCUGACGACAACGCAUGCAUAUGCAGGUGUCAACGCUGUGCCGGGACCGGAUGCACGAGUUCCUGGCCGAGGAGCUCGCCGCCGAGGGAGCGGCCUUACAAAAGCAGCAGCAGCAGCAGCAGGCGACGGAGGGGGAAGCAGGGACGACGACGAGUUCCCAACCGCAGGUAGUAGAAGACGAGAAGGAGGAGGAGGAGGAGCGGGCGUGGCGCGCGGCCCUGGACCGGACGUUCCGUCGCGUGGACGCGCUGGCGUCGCUGGCGUGCGCGUGCGGGCGCAUCGUGCGGCCGCCGUGCCGGUGCCUGCUGUCGUGCAACUCCGACAUCGUGGGGUCCACGGCGGUGGUGGCCGUCCUGGUCCGCGGCUGCGUCGUCGUGGCCAACUGCGGCGACUCCCGCGCCGUGCUCUGCCGGGGGCCCGCCGGAGCGCCGCCAGUCCCGCUCUCACGCGACCACAAGGUACGUACGUACGCGCGACACGCAUCCCCAGGCCAGUCUCUGGUCGCGGCGUUGACCCGUGCCCGAUGCACGGAUAUCAAAGCGCGCGGGGCCGGGCCAUGCAGCGGCAGUCCCUCAUUCCGGUGGCGCGGGGGACACGUGUCGGUAUCGGCGGGGGCACGUGGGGCGACGGCGGGGGAGACCGUGGUGGACGGAGGCGCCACUGCCGGCGAGUUGCUGGCUCGCUGCGGUGCUGCUCUCUUUUCUCUUCUCUUCUUUUCUUCUCUCCCUGGUGAUGAGUGAUGGGUGGGUGGGUGGUCAGCAAAAAAUAGCGAGCCUGCUGCAAAAACUAGUGGCAUGGUGGGUGCGCCAACAUUCGUGCUGAUUGUAAUUAGCUAGGUAACUUUUCGAAAAAUUAGCUAGCUAGGGUUCUCUUAAUUGCUUCUAUCACACCUCCUAACUAUGUACUCUCUGCUACUGUUCUUAUUAUACUAAGCAGCAGUGCUAAUCGUCUGUCAGAGGGUUUUGGUCAUUCUAAAGCUGACUAGCAGCAGUGCUAAUAUUCUAGUGCUAAUAUAAUUGGUCUGGCAGCCGGACCGGCCGGACGAGCUGGCGCGGAUCGAGGCGGCGGGCGGCCGGGUGAUCUACAUCAACGGCCAUCGCGUGCGUGGAAUCCUCGCCAUGUCGCGCGCGCUAGGUAUGGUGUGGUAUGGUAUAUGUGUUAGUUCCGAUCCUUGGGCAUCAAUGUUCAUCCAUCCAAUCGGAAACUAGUAGCAUAUAACUAUGAUCAAGAGCAGCGAUGUGUUAACAACUGCCGGGUGUUCUGGAAUCCAAACAUAAUCAAGCAUUCAACUCUCUACUAAAGCUGUUCCUUGAGAUUCCUGUGAUGCUAACCCAACCUAGAAAAAGAAGUGGGUGGACCUUUGUAAAGUGUAAACAAGCCACAAGUGGGGAUAGAGGUUCAAUAAUACAAUCCAUUAUGAUGACAGUGAUGCUAGCUGCAGCAUCUUUACCCUGAUGGAUUUGCUACUAAAAUGGGAGGCUGUUGGUGCAGGAGACAGGAUGCUACGUCCUGAAGUGAUCGCUGAGCCUGAGAUCACCGUAACGGACCGGACGCCGCAGGACCAAUGCCUGAUCCUGGCGAGCGACGGGAUGUGGGACGUCAUCUCCAACGAGAUCGCCUGCUCCGUGGCGCGGCAAUGCCUGGAAGACGGGAACCCUUCUCCCGCCGACGACGAGCCGGCGGCAGGCGGCGGCGAGGGUGCCGCCGCCGGGCCGGAGCAGGAGGCACGGUGCUCCAGGGCGGCGUCACUCCUCGUCAGGCUCGCGCUAGGCAGGACCACCUGGGAUAACGUCAGCGUCGUCGUCAUCGAUCUCAAGCAGAGGGAGUGAGUAGCAGGCUGCCUCUGAAUCUCUGAUGGUGUUGUCGAUCUGAUCAUGUCAUUCAGCGUAACCUGGAUGCAUUGACAUCGUAGCAGCGACUCUGCUUGGUAGCUAGUGAACUGAUCUUGAGAGGAGAGGCAGUGCAGUGGUCUAGACUAAACUUGAGACGAUUUUCUUUGAUUGGAAUAGUUGGUUUUUUUUAAGUUGCAUUCGGAAAGAAAGAAAGUGCGUCCACAAAGAAAAGAAAGAAAAGGGGAGAGAGAGAGAGAGAGAGAGAGAGAGAGAGAGAGAGAGAGAGAGAGAGAGCAAUUGUACAGGGUAUUAUGCAACAUUUAUGUACAUUAUUGUCAUCUACAUGUUCGGUUGGACGUUUGCAGUCUGGCUGCCGUUUAUGUGCCAGUAAUGCUCUGCCAUCAGCUGCUGCUGUUCUCUGAUGUUGCGAGUCUGGUGUCAGCAUGUCUUCAAGCCAACCGUAAUACAAGUUACCUAACAGCAAAAAACACAGCCUUUUACUCAUCCUAGCAGUGCCAUUCUUCGUUGGAUCACAUCCUCUAGUGUUGUGUUGUGGCCAAAACUUCUGCAUCAAUCUCAUCUGAUUGACUGUCUUGGAAGUUCUUCCUGGCAUUCUCUUCUUCUGGGGCCUACCCGGUCUUGCAGUGAACAUAGGAGGAUCAACAUCCGGGAAUGGAGUUUCAACCCAAUGUGUCUUAUCUGGGACUUGCAUGAUUCUGGAACCUGGAAAUGGAGUAUUCACCACUGAGCACUUUAGAAUCAACAAUGGACCAUUCACCUGGCUGUACUAAAUGCUGUCCUGUCCACCCAACCAGGCCACGACCAAUCACGACCAUGUUUCUUUCAGGAACGUGCAGCAUUCACAGUUUAGCCUGUACAAACAAUUGACACCGAUGGAGCCUACUGAAAGCAUCAGCUCUAUGGAGCCCAAUCAAGAUGGGCAUGAUGUUCACAAGUAACCUACUACUGAAAGGGAGAGAGCACGGAUCAAGAAUUAUUCAUAUUUCAAAGCCCUUACGAACUAAUUCAAGAAUUAUUUUUUUUAAAGGAGAUCUUACAGGCUUAAACCUCAAGAGUCAAGAGACAAACUCCAUCUAAGGCAGUAAGGUUCCUACUAAGCUGCAUCAAUACAAGCUGCUAAACACUCAUGAAACCGGACAGGAGCUGACAUUGCUUCUUCAAGAUGUAGCAACAAACAAAACAACUCUUGAGCACUAAAAACCUAUGAUUUAACUACAUUACAUGCCUCAAAGUAGGCCAAGUCAAAACUACUCCCACUCCGUGCACUCGGCCACCAUUGCUUGAUUCUCUCUUCUUACAAGCAGUUGUGCGUAACAGAUUUUCAAUCAUUAUGGUGCCCCAUCGAUGAGCUCGCAUUAACGUGUCAGUUGGGUGCCAGGUAAGGUUUCUCACAGGAUCUCACGAUGCCACCAUUGCUGUUAAAGUGGUGAAUUUUGCAGCAGAAAUCAGCACCCUGGUAGCGACUGAGAUGACGUGUCAGAGUCAGGACAAUGCUGUUGGUAGAGCUGACAGAAUGACUGAGUUGAUGCCGCAGCUGAUAAACUUGUCUCCGAGUCGCCACCAUGCUGAAGCUGGGUCUGUUGUGGUGAUGGCGGCACCAUGGUGAACAGGCUCGGGCCUGACAGUGUGCAGUGCCGCAGGUAAGGGUGCUGCUGCCCUGAAGAUCCAGGGUAAUACCUCGGAGAUCCAUGGGAAAAGUGUGAUGAACCUAUAUACCGACUGGGAGAUCCGUAGCCAGAACAGGAGACGUGUGGUGAAGUAUACCUGAUGUUGAUUGGUGGAGACAAAUGGCCCCCAUACAAUGAGUGCGCGGAUGCAAGGUGCGAUGUGCGAGACCAUGGGGAUGACAUAUUUGCAAGGUCUACAUUGCUUCCGCUUCUGUAGAUGGGAGGUGAGUUUGCACAAGACCUAUGGGGGUUAGGGGUGCGGGGGAUACCGGAACUUGAAAUGGAGUAAUUACGGGAUAUGGAUUGUGAUGAAGGAUGCCGGCUGAUUGGCCUUGGGGGAGAGGCUGCCACUGUUGACCGGAAUGAAGCUAAAGCGGUUGAUUCAGCAGGUAAGCGAAUAGCGGAAGAAAGCAAGGGGGUAGACUCUGAUACAGGUGGGUUUGAUGUUCCAGCAUUUGCGUCCCGCUUGCAUACAGGGCAGAAUGUUCGCCACGAGGUAAGCCACAGGUCCACACAAGCUGCAUGGAACUCUGCAAAUUAAAACAACCAAGCCUCAUACGAGUUAAGAAUAAAGCUUGAGAUGGAACAAGGGUCAAGAAAGAUGCAGCAACAAGUAUUGCAAGGUUUCAGAUGCAAGCACCACUGAUCAUUUUUUAUAUAAGCUUGAGAUAGAACUUUGUAUCUAAAAAUUCCAUAUACUAUGCACAUCAUGGAAUCAGGGAGCACAUAUUCAUAUAUGAGAAGGUGCCAAAAUGCAUAUGAAAUUGUAUUCAAUCUAGCUAACAACUCAAGCCUAUAUGGACUGUAGGGAACUAUUUUGAUGGAAGAUUUUUUCCAUACACACACACACACACCAUUCUUUUACUAACGUUCUAGUGGCACUACUCUACAUUCACAUCUGUAAGACAUAGUAAAGAAUAGUAAACAAUGCAGACAGAUUUCAUAUAUAAAUGUGAGAGGUACAUACUGUGUCGACAAGGUAGCACUCUUAGUUUUUCUCCCACAGUGUAGUCCUCCAAGCAAAUGGCACAUGUUGAUGAUGUACAAUUGUCUUCUUGAACUUUUGUGAAGAUGAGGCUUGGCAUUGCUUUAACUAAUUGACUGCUCAUUCCAUGGAACUCUCGAGCUUGGGGGAUUCGAGCCCUGUCUCGUCUUAUCUGGUGUCUCCUCACAAAGAAACAAGUAGCUAGGACAGCAGACAUAGCAAGCAGUGAUAUGAAUGAAAUUGCCAUGAUUGACCAAGCUGAGUUCUCGUAUGUUGGUAUUAUCCACAACUCUGCUUCAGUUUGACCUGAGUAUUUCUUCAACACCUCUCCUGAGGCCUUAGAGAUGAAUACCGCAUAUAUGUGGACUCCGGAUGAGCUUCCAGCCACUGCAACACCUCUUAGUCAAUUGAUAUUGAAAAUAUACUAAGUACAAUGAUAUGCAGCUCUCCUGCGUGUUUGGAAAAAAAAGAUAUUGAAAAUAUAUGCACUCACCGAGUAAUGUGAAUGGUAAAACUUUACAAUUGAUUUUGAUUAAUUAAGCAUAGGGCAAGGUUGCAUCAGUUUUCUACCUUUUAGAUUCAAUGAAGCUAAUCUAAUAAUUUAGAGCACUUUAAUGACUUACAGCAUUAUGGAAUAGAAAUACUCAAAUAACUAUAGAGAAACACCCCUUAUGUGCACUAAUAAUGAAUAAAUGUAAAUGAAGAUAAGCUGGAAAAAAUAAUGUCUGGGGCAUUACUUGAAACAAGAACGCCGUUGUCUUCAUUAUCAUAUACUAUAGCAGCCUUGAAUCCAGCAUUCUGUGCAUUUCUAACUUUGUCGUCAAAUUGGCAACCGCCUCUUAUAACCAAAGCAAAUGCUGAGGCAGAUCCUUUAACUGCUUUUGUUGUCAACGGACUGCAUGCAUCCAGAGGUUCAGCAGCAUAAAGCACACCAUUUGCACCUGAAUUUUUCACCGCUGGAGCUGCAAUAAGACCGAAAGGUCAAUAAGGCUUGCAUCAACCAGAUAGUUUGGUUAAGGCACCAAAGUGGCAUUGCAUAUUAUUAGUCACAACGAUACAAGGAUGGUGCUAGUGUAUGAGAAGAAACUAGAAGAGCCAUCUAACUACCAGGGCCAAAGAAAACAAGCAAUGAACCCAUUUAUUCACGAACUAAUAAAAAACAUAGCAAUUUAGCAUUAAAGAAAAACAAAAUCUAACACCAACUACAUAAAGAAUACAUUGUAAUUUGACGAAGUGGCCCUAAAUGGACAAGCACAAAGCUUCGCUUAUGUUGCCAUUGGAAUACGAGAUGCUAAUUGAUCUGUUCUGAAGAUACAGGGAUAUAGGAUAAUAGUAUGUAGCACUCACUAAAGGUUGCCUCGACGUCAUCGAAUGACAGGGUUGUGUUGUUCGCCAUGAGUACAACAUUGCAAGCUCCCAGCUGAACCAUGAGGCAAAUCACCAGAAAGAAACAAAGGGGGAAUGAUCUCCAUCCUCUUGGACAUGUCAUCUUGACAGAACUCAGUUCCUGUGUUACAGCUAUAGAACAGAGGAGUCCGCACAGAUGCGGCAUCGCAGAGCUGCAAAGCUGUGACCGUGGAAGGCGCUAGCGCCAAGCACCACUGCACCAGUCACCUAAACCACCUGCAAUCAUAUCAUAUUACUACGAGUAAGCAAACAAAUUUGAAAAGCAGGAGUGAUGUUAAUUUCACAGCAAUGCAAACAGUGUCCAUAGUAGUAUCACCCAGAUAGAACACAUGAUGAUAGAUUGGAGAAACAACCUAUAGAAAAACAGAACCACAGGUCAAAAAGACUCCUUUGGUUUCGGAAAACAGGAGAGGUUCCUUUUCCACAGAAAUGGGUCUAAAAUUUACCCGAAAUCCAGUGGCGUCUCCGAAUUGAACUAGGAUAUCCAUCACACAGCUCAGGGAGCACCACCAACUAAACACAAAAGGGGCAUAAGAGAUGAGACUUUUGAGCACGGAAUCGCCCAUAACACCUCUGAAAGCGGCACGGCUCCUGCCCUAAAUUCCGCGGAAGAAUCCCACGUGAAAUCGGGUAACGGCGCCAUAUCCACGAAAUUAGUGCCGUAAAAGCCGAAACUUUUCAGAUUGCAACGCAUCGAGGAGGAGAAAAGUGCGCACCUUUCGACGGGAUUUGAUUUGAUUUGAUUCCACCGGCACGGCAGCGGCAGCGGCAGCGGCAGCAGGAGUGAGACGAGGAAGAGGGAGAGGAGGCGUCGGCGCAAGAGGAGAAGAGGGACUAGGAGGAAUCAGCUGGUGGUGGAGGGGGAUCGAGAGGUGGCUGCGUGGGGAUGGAGACGUCGGCUGCCAUGAGACGAGAAAUCUGCAGCCAAUUUGGAGUGGCGGAGCAGGUGGGGGGGAGGACAGUAUGGAAUUCCGCCCGCAGAAACCAGGGCUGCAGGAGGCCGGAACGAAUGAGAAAGAAAUCAAUCAGAAAUGGAAUGGAAUUGGGACAGGUUUUGCCUCUAUUGAUUGAAUGAUUUUUUUACGUGAUUUGAUUUCAAUUUGUUUAUUCCGCUGUUGCGUCAUCCAUCCAUACCCCUCCCUCAAUCCCUGGCCACAUAUGCCGACCUCCUCUUCUAACCUUUUUUUUUUCUAAAUAAAGGUCUCUUGUGUUUAUCUCCUUUUCUUUUCUCAGAGCAAGAAAGAAAACUCCAGGCCAAUGAAUGAAUUGAAUCACCAUUUGCUUUCUUGGUGGCAAAGAAGAAAAUGUUUGGGAGCUUGACGUUAUCUCAUUUAUUGCCUGACCUUAUCAUGUCGACCGCAUGAGACCAUCCAUCCCCUCCUGCUUCGAUUCGGAGCUCCAAACGAUUCUCGAAAGCUGAUGAGUUGCACAUCCACGUGUACAAAAUCAAGUGAUAACAGACCCUUUUAGUUUGUUAGAGAUAAUUUGGCUGGGCAGUGGCAAUCUCAUGUCAUGGAUAUUCGUAUAUGCCGGGGAACAUAUGGUGGUUCCUAACCCCCAAUGAUUCCGAUGCUAAUGCGGAGGUAGGCAUCUUUAUGGGAUCAGAAACAGAUUUUAGCAAUCCAAUCGAAAAUCACUGUCAUCAGCGGUUAAUACUCCCAUCAGACAUUCAUACAUUAGGAAGUGAGUCGGGAGGUGUAGUUGUGCACUUUAAUCAUCCAGAUUUGAGCUCGAAUUUAGAUGCCCAUUUCUUCUUCUUAAUAAAAAGAAUCAUAUAACUUCUCCUAGGUGAUUUUUUAAACAUUCCUAUAGUGGAGAAGACCCCAAUCUCCUACUUUCGGCCUGAAUGUUAUACAUCAGCUUAGGACGUUGGGAUUUUAAGUGCCGCUCAUCUAAUGAAAUUCUUUUAUUUAUCGAGCCCUCGAUUCUUUUCUUGUUUCUUCCAUCUUUUAUUUCUCCUAUACGUCCGGAGUAAUUUCUUUUUUGUUUGGAAACAUUUUGUGCAGCCCAGCCGUUGAGCUCCUGCAGGCUAUGGGCCUACCCGCAACAAGCAGGCUGAAGCCUGCGGUGGAGCGGACCGCACACUUAUGGGUCAUUAAUGGACCAAUGGGCCCAACAGUACGUAUGGACCUUUCGGCUGGCCCAUGUAGACAAAAGAAAAAGGAAACUGGGAAGAGCUAUACGUUGCUCGGGUGAUUCGCAAGCUCCCGUCACCUGAAUUUUAUACCGUCGGAUCUUACAGCUGUGGUGCUUUCCCGUCACAUAACUGCUGCUGCCUCCUGCAGCUGCGCUGCACAGCAGCGCUCCGACCAGACCUUGCACGGCUGCAUGCUACGAGCAUCGAGCAUGCCGCAUGCCUGCGCGGCUGUGCAGUGCGUGCGUUUCUAUAUACAUUAGAAUUUUUUUACACUAUAUUUGUAAGUAAUUUACAGUGAUAUUGUUACUGUAUUUUCAAUUUGUAUAUUGUGUAAUUUUAAAUCUGUGUAAAUUGCAUGUUGUUUAUUGAAAUCUGAUUGGUAUUUUUUGCAUUUGAGGGGUUCCUCGCAGUUAAAAAUAAUUUGUUAUCUGACUGACUAUAGUAAAAAUUUGUUUUUAAGUUUAUAAUUUUGGCUUUUGCAUUUUAUUUUUUCUUCUCUUUUCUGCGUCAGUUUAUUUUCUAUAUGCUCAGCACAGUUUGUUUUCUAAUUAGGAUUUUAGGGUCAUAAUUUUCAGGUGACAAAUCUACUUGUAGCACCUGAAUUUUUUUCUCUUCAAAAUAGGGUGUUAUCCAACAUCAAAUCACCAAGGUGAUUGUGACCGUAGUAACACCAGGGUGAUGGGUAGACAGUCCCUAAUGAAAAGACAGGAUGCAUGACGCUCCUUCGAUCCUUCUCCUAUGUUAAGCUGGCUGACGAUUCUCUUAUGUCGUCACCACGAAGUUUAGUCAUUGGUCAGUAGCGUCGGGUAAGGGGCGGCAUCGGGAUCCUUGUGGACGGAGGAGGCCCUGCGGCGGUCUGAGGUUGGCCGCUCGCGGGCACGGAGGCAACCACUGCACGAACUGUGGUCGGCAACGCGUCGCUCCAGCUCAGUUGUGGCCGGGUCCGGCCCUACCUGAUCGGAUUUCGGCGGCGCGGCGACGCAGGGUCGUCCUCUUCGACAGCAACGCGAUUCUGUGCGUUUGGUGGCGCCGUGGUGGCGCGGUCGAGGAUGGCUUGCGCAGGGGCUCGCAGCGGUGCCAUGGUGGUGCGGCUUGCACUGGCCUGCGUGCGCGGGGGCACGUUAGCUAUGCCAUGGUGGUGUGGCUACUAGCGUUGCUGGGCCAUCUCGCUUGCGGCGGAUGAGGAGGGCGCCUGCAGCGCAGCGGGCCGGCGCAACAGCAGCUGAGGAGGCCGCACGUGGCUCGGCGAUGGAGGUGUGGCUGCGCAUGGCGAGCUGGCGGCUGCUGUGGUAGUGGAUGCGUGUUGAGCGUGGAGUCGUGGCGGCGAGGGUGAUGGUUUAGGGUGGAUGCGGUGGCUGCUGCGCGCGCGGUUGGUGGUUGUCGAUUUUUGCCUUGGCAACAUUGCAGUGUUUCAUCAAAUCAAAUGCCGAGUGCAUUCAUAGUAGUCGAUCUAUCUUCUUUGAGGCUUCCUCCCCUUGAAGGGUGUUGGAUGGCGGUAGGUGAAGGUUCGGAUGUGCUACGAAGGGUGCUACCAAUCUACCAUUAGCUUGAAGGGAGAUCGGUGUGUCCAAUGAUAUUGUGGUCUGCGUGCUCCCCUCACUCUUAGUCCCUUUUCUGUUGUGGUUGUCCCUCAUUCCUUCAGGGCUUCCUCCUCCUGUUGGAUGUUGAGGGUGGCAACAGAGCGGCGUAGCUACAAAGGGUGGUACGGUAGCACUAUGAUCUCAAUAGAGCUGGUAAGCAUGUUGUUUGGUUGUAAUGCCCCCACGUGAAUGGUGGCUUGCUCUUUAAGCUUUGUAAGCGUUAGCCUUUGUCCAUGUAUCUUCUUCUUUAUAAUUCUGGCGUCUAUGCCGCCUUGUACCAUUUCGACUGGGAGGUGCCGGGCGGGAAGGGAAGUUUGGGGUCACGGUGCACCGGAAGGAGAAGCUUGUGCUCAUCCCAAAACGCAAACUUGAAUUGAUGUAACGAAAAAUAAUAAUUGAAUCGAAAAGCAGAGAAGCAAUGAACCUGGCCAAGCAUUAUAUUGCUCCAAUAAUCAUGAAGAGAUCAAUAAUUGACGAUACAUGUAGUAGUCGUGACGAGCAAUCAGUGUAUGAUCGGCUUAACUGCCGUUGGUGACGGGGUAUCCGAUGCCGUGUCGCCUGGUUGGGAAGGCGACGAAGAGCAGGCUGCAGAGGACGCCGACGCCGAGCGGCAGGAUGUCGAGCACCUCCUCCGUCUCCCUUGCCGGCGCCGGGCAGAAGCACCUGACGACGUUCUUGUCCCUCGCCGCGACGACCCCGAAGACGGCGGCGGAGAGCGCGGCGUGCACGAAGUCGACGAAGGCGAGCCUGUACCUGGCGGUGUCGGCGGCCGGCGGCGGCGCGCCGGGCGGGUAGUCGAUGAGCCAGAGCCCCCUGGGCGUGGCGACGCCGUAGUAGACGCGGCCGUCGGGGCCCUUGAGGGAGUCGGUGAAGGAGGCGAGGACGCAAGAGAGGGCGAGGACUGCGAGGAGGCCCCGGGUGAGGAGCGCCGUGGUGGCGUCGCAGGCGCCAUGGUUGGUGAAGGUCGGCGACAGCAGGUUGAAGGCCAGCAGCGUCCCCGUCGGCAGCAGGUUCGCGAGGUUCGCCGUCGACGUCAGCGCCUGCGACAACGGCGAACGUGGAGGCGGCGGCGGCGGCGGCGGCGAGGGUGCUGCUUCUGGUUCUUGCUUGGGGAGGAGGAGGUCUUGCUGGUCGUCUUGGAGGAGCUGUGGCUGCUGAGCGGCGGCGGAGACCGCAGUGGCUGGCCUCUGCCUGACCGAGGAGGAGGAAGAAGAUGCCAUGAUCGAUCGAAUGCUGUGUGGUAUUGAAGUGAAAUCGAUAUUUAUUCUCUUGGUGCUUGGGCAUGUAGCUUGUAUUUGUAAGGAAGCGAUCCAUGGAUGACGACGACCGGCCGGGAUGCGGUUGUGGAAUGCGUCAAGGAACAAGCGAGCAUGGAUGAGAUGGCUGCUAUUCCCGUUCUGGUCUGGUGGUUGGUUACUCGGUUUGGCUCAUGGCACCGACCCGACCCAACCCCCAAUUCCUUCACCCAUCUUGCAUUGCUGCUGUUGCUUCCAGCAACCGUUUCCAUAGUCCAUCGUGACCAGGCUACAGCUUGUGUGUUCCAUGCCUGAUGCCUCGUCGUUCAUUGCUACUGCUUUCACGGUACGGGAACCAACCCAAAAUCUCACCUAACACGCUUUCCUGAUAAAUUCCUGGUCCUAAAAAAUACACCUGAUCAAAAUGGAACCCUCUUUCUUGCUUCCUUCGAUUAUUCUUUUCCUGUUCUUGUCAUGUAUGUAUAUCCUCGACCAAUAUAUGCAAUGAACGGACGACGAACAAACGAAUUAAUCUAAAAGUCGACAUGUAAAGAAAAGCAGUUCCAUGAUAAGACGAGUGCUCAAGAAUUAUUUCUUUAGUGCUGAUGAUCUGCUUCCUUUGUACAACAAGGAGCAGCUUCGUCAACAUACAUCAUUAUUAGAGAAAUGAACUUUCGUCCUCAGCCUCAAUACCGGUUGCAUUUUGAUCUGGUACUAAUGUGAGCAUAUGUACCGGGUAUAAUCCCUGAUGAGCCCCCCUUGACCCCCUUUAGUACCGGGUGAAGGUUCCACCCGGUACUAAAGCCAUCCGCCAGCCAUCCUCCGCGCGGUACCCGCUCCCAUGCAUCCUAUCUUACCUAUCUCUCUCUCCCCCCCUCUUAGCAAAGCGCAACUGUAGCUCUCUCUCGCUCCUCUCCUUUCUCUCCUCUCUCAGCGCAGCGCCGGCGAGCGGCAGGAGCGGUGGGGUGGAGGUGGGCGGGCAGAGGGGCGGAGGGCGGCAGGAGGGUGGUAGGGUCGGGCGGUGGGAGGAGUUGGGCGAGGGGGGGGGGACGGGGGUCCAGGCAAGAAUUUUAUUUUUCAACCGGUAUUAAAGGUUCUCCCUUUAGCACCGAUCUACCAGUACCCGUUGGAAACCAAUACUAACGGCAUUUUCAUAGUAGUGCAUGGUCAAAGGUUUUAAAAAACAAAAAACAAAAGGCCAUUCGUCUAUAAUUGGGCUGCCUCUCUAUCUCUCCUCCAAAACGGGCACUCUCUUUUCUUUCUACUACUCUUCCCAUAUUAUAAUGGAUUGGGCUGUCUCUCUCCUCAAAACGUGCUUACGGGCCUAGGAAAACGAAAGUGAUCCACGAGGCCUGCCCCCCACAUAUCAUCUCUCGGCCCACUAGGUCCAACUUGAAUAAACUGUCUGUACGACAUCAUUACACCAAAUAUGAUCAAGACAAACAACUUUAGAGAAGCGUCAAGAUAUAACUUCCCACAAGUACUAGUAGCUAUAUAAUUAAUAAGUAUAGUUAGGGAGGUUACCCAAUUAACACCCGUACGUACAUGCUACCCAGACAUUACAAAGUUUAUGUAUAAGCUUUGAUAAUAUGCUUGCAAUAAUGUAAAAGAUACAAAUUAUUUGUUAGCGGCUCAAAAGAAAUUAUUUGACGUCUAAUGAUUUACUUAUUUUUUUUUAAGCUGAUUUGCUUCCUUCACAGAACACAGAAGGCCAGUGGACGGUAUCUUCGUCAACACGGUCAAAGUAGCCAUCACUGUUUUUUUAUGACGAAAAUAAAGAAAGUCUCUCAGUUCGUCUAUAAUUGGGCUGGCUCCAUCCUCAAAACGGCCUAAUGGGCCUUAGGAAUACAAUAGAAAUCCACUGGGCCUGCCUGUCACACUCGCUGAACCAUUGGUGAAUGAAUAAAACAGCGAGCUUCAGAGUUUUUUUUUUAGAAAAAGCUCUCAUCUUUGUGGUCCAUAUCUCUCGGCCCACUGGGUCCAACCUGAAUAAACAAACAAUCUGUACACGUCAUGGAUCCAAGUAUCUCCCGUUCAUCCCCCUAAAAAAAAAGUAUCUCCCGUUCAUUUGCAAAUUACCAGUUGCUAAUCUUCACUUAUAGACGAUGGUCAGUUGCAAUAGGAUCAUAUGAAUCAUCAUAAAUUGCCUCAUGGUUUGCAUGAAUUUAGUCAUGUUCAUCUCCGUGAAUUAGCAGUGACACACGUUUUAUGCGAUGAACAUGAGCCUUAUGCUUCCAAUAGGUACUAGCAUCAGGGACUGUUCGGUUCGGCCAGUUUGAUCCGGAAUGCAGCUCAAUCUGGGCGGAUUGGAAUGGCCCGGAAUGAAGUCAGGCUUGGUUUGAAUUCGCUGUUCGGUUAGAUCUAACCCGAAAUGGAAACAUGCCCGAAAUCAUUCCCCACCUCCUCCCCUCCGGAACGGAGCCAGACCACUCACUCGACUCGCCGCUCCCCCACACCUCCACGAUUCCCGGUGCCUCCGCGCUCGAUGGCCACAACCCCGCCGCCGCGCCUCCACCCGCGGCCCUACUGCGUCACCACCCGCGCUUCCCGGCUCCUCCGCGCCCCAAUGGCUGCUAGCUUGCUAUCGCGACCCUGGCGCCGCCGCCGCCGCGCUCCACGGCGCCUCCACCCACGCCCUGACUGCGCCGCCGCCCACGACUCCUGGCGCCUCCGCACCCCAUGGCCGCCGGCUUGCCGCUCGUGCCCCCCAGUGCCGCAGCCGAACCGACGCCGCCGGCCUGCCACACGCGCCCCCAGCCGCGGCGGGGCCCUAGCUGCGCGCCCCUCCACCGCACUUGCUGGCUGGCCACGCUUGCCGACGUGCCGUGCGCCGGCAUCGGUGUCGGAGAAGAAGCCAUGACUAUUUGGGCGUCGGAAGAAGCCGUGCGCUGGCAUGCCGCGGCCCCCACCAUCGGGCUGUGGGGCCCCGGGCGCCAAGCGACCGAUGCGGGACUUCUUCGCCAACUGGCUGGCCACCCUCCGCUCGCCGCUCCUUCCGCUGCUCCGCCACGCGCUCUCCUCCUCGUCCAGCUCCUGGGACGACCCGCUCUCCUUCGCCACCACGGCCGUCAAGGCACACUUCCAGGUGCACUGGUCCGCGCUCGACGCCGCCACGCGCUAGGAGCUCACCUUGCCUCCAUCGAUCCAUCCCUCCGUGGAUCUAUCCUGCCCAGAGGCGGAGUCAGUGGAGCCUGGUGGCCUCCCCUUGGAAUGCGCAUGUUCCACCAAUAGCUAGGAUUUGGUGGUGGUGGGGAUUGGGGAGGGGAGGAUGCACCACCCCGGUGGCGUGCGUGGAGGAGACGAAACAAGGGGCAUGCGCAGAGGAGACGGAGCUGACGGUGUGGAGGAGACGAAGCUGGGGGUAGGCGUCGAGGAGACAAGCCAGUGGCGCGCAUGGAGGAGAUGGAGCCGGGGGCUAGCGCGGAGGUGCUAGGGGCAGGCACUGAGGAGACGAAUCUAGCAGCGCAUGUGGAUCGGAGGAGACGGAGCCGACGUGCCUUGGUCGAGUGGAGCGGAGCGAGACUGAUGACCUGUUUGUUUUGGAUGGAUUGGCGGGAUUAAAUCCUAGCUGGAUUGAGUGACACGGGUGGAUUCACUCAAACCGGACCUGGAAGUAAUCCUGGCCGGAAUCCAAUCCGACUUAAACGAACGAGGCCUCAAUGGUAUCGUGCGUUUGCAGAUGAAAGGAAGGGAAAGUACCUGAACUUAGAUUUGUAUAGGUAGCAGUUACGGAUUGGAGGUAGAAGUAAUAAUUUGAGACGGAGGGAGUAAAUGUACAUGUAGAUGUAUAGAAUUGUUCAUAAUGCGUGCUCACGAGUCAAGCAUUUCACAUGGAACCUGGGCAUCCGGUGAUUACUUGACUCAGCUGGAUUUUAGUCUGUUCACUUGGUUAUGCAUCCGUACGUGCAGACUACAUGGGAUCUAUUCCAUACGACAGCAGCAAUUAAGUUGAUCAAAUUGUUAACAAGCAAGACAAGAGUCAGCACCUAAUGCUCCUUCCAAUUGUACUAGUAUACUGUGUACGCAAGACUUUGAAGUUGGGCAAUGGGGCACGUACAAAAAUUCGUCCAAAAUUAGGUAGGAGAAGUCCAACUCUAGCUGCCGAGCUAGUCCAAGAGGGAUGGAAUGGAAGACCACGCUCGAAUUGUUCCAAGAAAUGCAUGCACAUUGACGUUGAGGCGGCUACACGCCUACACCAAGCAAUCUGCUAUAGCUUAUACUGUGGUUAACUGAAAUCUGGUACGGUUGGACCCGACUUUUUUGUACCUUUAUGCUUCUUGCUGCAUGCAGUACAGUGUUCCCCUGGAGUCAACGCACACCAGAACAACUAACCACCCAGAGAGAUGCGCCUGCUGUCUUUGCUCAUCCUCCUCUUCCACCCAUUGUACGUGUGUGACGACCAAAUGAUGAUCAGGUGCUAGAUUUUGGCUUCAUCAUCGUCUGCCUAGACUGAUUUUAAACCUUUAUUUAGUGUUGCAACCUUUCCUGUCUGGGCUCAUCUUUUCAGUAGAUACUAGUACAAUAGGCACAUCUCCUAAUUUUUUUUAAAAAAAAUAGAUGGCCUCCCCACCGGCCAGUUUUGUAUAUAUUCAAUAACGAGAGAAAAAAAAGAGAGAGAGUAAUUUACAGCAACACCCGUUUACUCUGUUUCAUGAUUCGUGUUAGUUGUGCCGAGCAAGAGGUAGCUAGAAGUGACAAUAAGCAGGAAGAAGGUGCCUUGAUAGAGGUUAAGGUUAAUGCCCUUCUACUUUAGGAUUAUUGUUAGGGUGGGUGGUGGGAGCAAGCCUAUUUAAGCCUAGACUAGAAAGGUGUCAAAAUAAUAGCAUAAGUAUUUUAUUGUUUAAACUGUAUGUAGUAAGGGUGAAAAAGUCUGAUGCAGCUUCCCUUUGUAACUUUGCUGACAUGGAAAAUUCCUUUGCAUCAUUGUACGUCUCUAAUUCUAGCUAGGGAUCAUCCUUAGCUUAGACUUACAACAACUAGUAAGAUUCCACCCUUCAGAUAUAAUAAGUCUCAAAGUAAAUUUCUUCCAUAUAAUAUUAAGUAUAGUAAUAUGUAUAUUAUUAAUUGUAAAUUCAUUGCUAAGCAUAUAUUUGAGUUACUAAUUAGUAGCGUAUAAUUCAAAAUUUACCCCCACUGGUUGUAAAGUAUUUUCUACUUUCUAUAUAUUGGAAAUGGCAUUAAAAGCAUGCUCCAUAUACUAGGGGACCCUAAACUCUGGAGGACAAUAGCGAGAGAAGCAUGGCCCUUGUCUUAAUCCAGACCGUUUGGCGCCCAAAAAGCACGCAGAUUAUCAUAUUUUUACAUACAGUUAGGAGUAUAAAAAUUAGCGCGGGAUCAGCGGCCGCUCCUGCCGUCAUUCCAUCCACCGCUGCGCUGCAAGUCCAAGAAAUCCUCGCAACCCAACACCAAGACGCCGACGAGGAAGAAGGAGGAGGAGGAGGAGGACGCGUAAUCAACACACAAAGGCGGAAGAUUCCAUUCCGAUCCUCCCAAAAUCCCGAGGCGCCCGCGCGCCUGCCCGCCUGCCCGCUUGCCAGCCAUGGCCGUGCCGCCGGAGGAGCACCGGCAGCGGGAGCAAGAAGAAGAAGAAGAAGAAGACAGCGACGAGUUCACCUUCCCCACGCCGCCGCCGCUCCUCGCCCGCGGCAGGGACGGGCGCCACCUGCCCUGCUCGGCGUCGGCGUCGUCCUCCCCGCCCGUCUGGCUGCUUUCCUCGCCGAUCCGCCGCAGCUUCUCCGCCGCCGACUGCGCCGCCUCGCCGUGGCGGGACCGUGUCCUGCUCGGCCGCCAGCGCCUCAACGGCGCGUGCUCCCCCGCGCUCAGCGACUACGCCGCCGCCGGCGGCUUCUGCGACGACGAGGAGGAGGAAGAGGAGAGGAUGGACAGCCUCUGGGAGGACCUCAACGACGACGACGCGGCGGCCGGCCGGCCCCGGAACGACGACCUGUUCCUAGCAGGCUCCCUCGACGUGUCGCGCCGCCGGUCCGUCGCCGGCGGCCCCGUCUCCGCCGAGAGGGCGAGGAGGGCGGCCAAGGACCAGCGCGAGGCCGCCGCCGCCGCGGUGCUGGGCGCGUCGAGGAGCUCGCGGCGCCGGGCGCCGGGGCUGGUGGUGAUGAUGCGCGCACUCAGGAGGAUGUUCGUGGCGCACAAGGGCAAGAGCAGGGUGCACAGGGACGAGCAGAGCGCCGCCUCUGCAUCGGCUUCCUCCUUCCUGCAGUAAAAAUCCCUUCAACAAAGGAUGAGCGGAUGCAUUUUUUGGUGAAGAAACUCAGCCUUAUACUCUUCUAAUGCGUUUAUUUCGUUUUAAAUCCUGUUGUGCUUCCAUUUCUUGACUGGAUUAUUGUUCCGGGCCGGCCAUGUUGAUGAUCACAGUUCUAAUGUGCAUCGUUGUGGAUAGUAGUUCUAUCUGUUUUUUUCUCUUUUGGUUACAAAGAAAAAAAGAAUUGAUGUUCUAAUUAGACUGUAAAUGUUAUAUGGACAGAGUUGGAGAUCGCCGAGGCUGUUCUCUUUCACCCUCUCUUUCUAGAAUUUUAGAUUGUGUUUGUAAUUAUAUUCCUGUGUUUUCCUAUAAUCUGAGAUGUACGAACCAUGGUGAGAUUGUGUUCUGAAUAACUCUACUUAAUUAGCUGCAUGCCUGCAUACUGCAUAAGCCCAUAAACCACCAAUACAAUUAUGUAUUUUUUUUCAAAAAAGAACAUGCCCUGGAUUAUGUACUCGAUUAUCCUUUGCUUGGACUAAAUUACAGGCGAAGAAUUAGGCACAUGUCCACUGUCAUCUGCUAGAUCAUGGAAGCUGGAUGAUUCGGAUGCAUUAGGACAAAACCCACCAGCAGCUUCUUAGGUUGGACCUGUCUGCACAAAUGGACAAGGUCGGUUAGGCCAUGUAACUGACGAGUGACGACCUGUCAAAUGAAGGCAUGCUGCAGUUGUUGUAGCAAUCAGGUCAACUUUGGGAAGCACCGAUGAUUCGAACAUUCAGUAGUACGCGCAGACUGACUGCCACCUUGAUGAUGACACACAUUUUCAGUUCUUGUCUGCUUGAGCAAGGUUGGUUCAGGGCCAAUUAUAUAUUUACAGUCAAUAGAUAAUUAACUAAUUCGCAGGAAAAUUAUAUAUAGAUCAAAGUGGUUUUAAGUUCUAACCCAACGAUGGCAUCGUCGUCGUCGCCUCCGCCGUGGCCCGAUCUCCUGCCGGAAGUCCUCGGACAGAUCGUCACCUACCUCUGCCCUGCCGAUGUCGCCCGCUUCCGGGCCGUUUGCCGCGCAUGGCACUCCGCCGCGCGCCAGCUGCAUGGCCAUCAGCACGAACAGCAGCUGAGUUCUUACCAUCCCUAGACAGACGGCCAUACCGAGCGUGUCAAUCAAUGCAUGGAGACGUUCCUUCGUUGCUUUGUUCAUGCGUGCCCAACCAAGUGGUCCAGUUGGUUAUCUCUUGCGGAGUUCUGGUACAACACUAGCAUGCAUUCAGCAUUGGGUCGUUCUCCUUUUGAGGUGCUGUAAGGUCACUCUCCAAGAUAUUUUGGCAUCCAGGCUGCUUCUGCAUGCACCAAUUCUGAUUUGUCUGCUUGGCUGCAAGAACGUGAGGUGAUGCAAGCACUUGUUAAACAUCAUCUCUAUCGAGCACAAGAUCGUAUGAAACACCAAGCUGACAAGGGGCGUUCAGAACACCAAUUUCAAGUUGGAGAGCUGGUUUGCCUUAAGCUGCAGCCUGAUGUCCAAUCUUCACUGUCCGCUCGUGCUAACCAGAAGCUUGCCUUUAAGUUUUUUGGGCCCUUCAAAGUGUUGCAGCGAGUGGGAUCAGCGGCAUAUAAGCUUGAGCUUCCAUCAGAUGCUACAAUUCACCCAGUUUUCCAUGUGUCGCAGCUUAAGAAGGCAAUUGGUGUUCAGGUAGUAUCUCCUGACUUACCUCCUGGUGAUACAACAUUUCAGGUCCCUGAGCGUGUUCUGGAGCGACGGAUGUCUUCUGGUGAUCGGCCGGUUCUCCAAGGUCUGAUCAAGUGGUCAGGUAUGCCUGCUGCAUUGCAUUGGCCACAUGAAAGAAUUUGGACUCUCUUCGUCAACGUCUUCCGCUGGCGCCGACUUAGGGGCAAGUCAUUUCUCAAGGAGAGGGGAAUGUUACCAGUACUUCUGCUGCAGCUGAUGACAAGGUGGAGAAUGCAAGUCCUGAAGAGGCGUGUAAUCAAGCCUAAUAGGAAAGUGAGCGGUCCGGACUGGAGGGUUUAGGUUAUAUGUGUAACAGUAGUGCGUGCGAGAGAGAGGCAUCACGGAUUGUAACAUCUUUCUGAACUCUAAACAUUCUUCCGCCGCCCGCCGCCCCUAUUCUUCUUCCUCCUCUGCUCCGAUCCCCAACUCGAGUUCGCCUUCCCUUCCUCGCUGUUAACAGGCGGUUCUCCACAAUGCCCUGGGGUACCUGGGCGUUCGCUGCUCCUGCAGUCCUGCUGCCGACGCCGGCGGCGUGCGCAACGUCAAAAGCUUCGAGCCUGCGAAGUAAAACUGCGUUUUUUUAAAAAAAAUUCCUAGAGUGCAUUCUGAAUCCUCUGAAUCCGCUUGUUGUAUGUUUUUUUGGGAGUUUUUGUGGUGGAUUCACCAACUGCUUAGAAUCACCAAAUCUGUAUAGAUACAUGUACAUUUCUAGCUAAGGUUAUGUGCUAGCUUUACUGCAGUAGCAGUGCCGCAUCUAAGUCCAGAGAAUUGUUUUAUCUGCACCUUUUGUGCACGCUGAAUUGAUUUGGCAACCUCAUUUUACUUUAUAUACGUAUAAUGCAAGAUAUUUCUGGUCAGUAUAUGAAUUAUCAAAAUCAGCGGCAAUAUGCACAAUGUUCAGACAAUGCUUAAGAAAUACUAGUUCUAGAAAAGGUUUAAUAAUCGUACAUGGGACUAUAGGAUUCAAUUGAAUGGAAGUACAAGGGAUAAUAAGAUCACGACACUCAAAGCAUCGUAUAGCCAGUAAAGCUACUGCCUCCGAAGGAGAACUAGGUUCUCAGUGUGAUCAUCAUAUACCAAUUUUGCAAUCAGGAAGAAUGCCAGCAAUGCAAGAGCAGCAAGUCCUCCAAAAACAAAUCCAUAGAUAAGUGCAUGAUGCAACUUGUGUUCUUGUGAGAUGGAGGAUUGGUGACUUGACACGGAGAUGCAGUGGUUGCUGAGUAACGCGCCACAGAGAUUAGGAUUCCCACCGUAACUAGAAUUUGAAAACGUAUCAAACUGUGCUCCAGUUGGAAUUGGCCCUUCCAGUUCAUUAUUAGACACAUUGAAUAGAGAAAGGAAGUGCAGGCCACUCAAUGCAGAUGGGAGUUCACCGGUGAUAUGGUUGUUUGACAGGUCUAGCAUUUGUAGGUUUGUGAGCUUGCAGAUUUCUUGGGGUAUUUCUCCAGAAAAGCCAUUGGAACUGAAGUUGAUGACAUUGAGCAUUUUCAACUGACCAAUCUCAGGGGGGAUCGUUCCAGUGAAUCUAUUGUUUCCUAAGUUCAAUACACUGGGGAAAGCAUUGAGCAUACGGUAUUGAUGUGACUGUGUCCAAUAUACAGGUAACUCAAGGAACUUCAUGUCCAACUUGGCAGAAUUCUUCUUAUAUUGUAGCAUCGGCAUCUCCAUCAAUGCCAUUGGGAUAUCCCCUGUAAUCAUGUUGCUUGAUAUGUCCAGAAAGAAGAGGAGUUCCAGUCUGUUAAUCCAUGAUGGUAUCAGCCCAGUGAGUCGAUUGCUGGAUAAAUCUAGCACCUCCAACUUUUUGAGCUUUGACAGCCAAGGGGGGAUUUGUCCGACCAAUGGGCAACCAUCUAAGGUCAGUAUCUGAAGAUUCUCAAAACCAUCAAUUGUUUCAUCCUGUGGCAUAGUUUCGCCGUUGAAGUUGGUUCCUAUUACUAAAGUGGUGAGGUUCUUGCAGCUCUUGAGAAUCUGUAUCACAUUUGUGAUGUUUGUAAAAGAGUUAUCUGUCAGUGAAAGGAAGGAGAGAGACCUAAGAUUUCCUAUUCUUGGUGGCAAUUGGCCAUGAAAAUCAUUGUAGGCCAACCGCAAUGCAAUUAAAUUGCUGCACAAGCAAAUGCUUUCUGGAACUUUACCUGUGAAGUAGUUCAGCGAAAAAUCUGCUGUUCUCAGAUCGAGUAGGGUGAAGUUGACUUUGCUGAGAUCUCCGGAAAAACUGUUGUUUCUGAGGUUGAUAUACCUGAUAUUUGAGCAGUUACCUAGGGUCGAUGGCAGCUCACCAGACAUGAGGUUGUUGUCCAAGUGGAGCUCCUCCAAUUUUCUUAGCCGGUCUAUAGAAUCUGGGAUUUUGCCUCUGAGACCAUUUGAUCCAAGAUCAAGGACCGUCAAAUUGUUGAGUUUGACCACUUGGGAACCAUCAAAAACUCCUUGUAAACCAUUGUUAGGAAAAGAGAGGUGUUCCAAUGAGGUAGCACUGAAGAGUUCAUGAGGAAGAGCUCCACUAAGGUCGUUGUGCCCAACCUUGAUCACUCUCAGCAUGGAGCAAUUGCCAAGUUCUGGAGGUAUAUUGCCGCUGAAUUUGUUGUAACAAAGGUCCAGAACACUGAAGGAAGGGGAGCUCUUACAGAUAGAGGCUGGUAUCUGUCCUGCAAAGCUAUUAUUGCUAGCAUUAAGAGCAAUCAAAUUCUUCAUUGCGCCCCAUAUUGUGGAUGGAAACUGUCCCGUAAAGAAGUUGCUCGAGAUAUUCAGUACCUGCAGAGGAAGAUUGUGAUUUAAAGGUCGCAGCUCUUUCAAGGGACCUGUCAGAUGGUUGAAGCUGACAUCAAGGACAGCGAUGCUGUUGUGCAACACCAAUUCAGUCGGUAGAAUUCCAUGCAGAGAAUUGUGGGAGAGGUUGAGAUUCAUUAACCCUGUGAGAUUGGCAAGGGACGGCGAUACACUCCCCGUAAGUCCUUUAGAAGCUAAUGAGACACCCAUGACCGUGUUGUCACCUCUGCAGGUGACCCCUUCCCAAGCGCAGCAGUCAGUACCAUGCAUCCAUGACAUUCUGAGGCUGCCAUCGCUGCCUGGUGAGAGCUGAGCAAGGAAGUCUAGGAGGGAGCUCUGCUCGUCCUCCGUGCAGGAACUGGUGAGCGAAGCAAAGGUGAGCAGCAGCAGAACAACAAGGCCAAGGAAAGUCAUGGUGAAUUUUUGUUGGUGCUGAAGCUGAAGCAUGGGAAAUGGAGGAGACAUGGUUCUCAUGAGUCUGGACUGAGUAGUUCAGUACUUGAAUAGAUCUAAAGAUCUCAACUGAAAUGAGAGAAAACAAAAUUAUGCUUGUUGAUGUUGCAUGUAGAAUAAUUUUAAGCCUAUUCUAGACUUCUGUUUAUACAAUUAGAUGUUACAUGGACUGCAAGUAACAAAUUCAGGAGAGCCAACCACUAUGACUAUGCUGCAUUCACAAUGAUAGCUACACUAAUAGAAGGUUACAACACCGAAGAGAAGUUGCUGGGUAAGUAUGGUCAGAGCCAGCGAAUCCUAGCCUGCUAUAUGUUACAGACUAUGCCGUUGGUAUUCCAGUACAAGUCUUCUCAAUAUAGGAUAAAUAUCAGAGCUACGGUUUUAAUUAUAUGUUUUUUUUGGAAACACAGUGAGGUGAACCCCACACAAACUUGGGGAGGAAGUUCAGCAGUGAUUUUUUCUUGGAGUGCAGGGGCCAUAAUGGGUCAUGUUAUCAGCGUCAUGAGGAUGAGAAUGACUAUUCCUCUGAAUGUUUUCAUGGAAACUUCAUGAGGAUGAGAAUGACUAUUCCUCUGAAUGUUUUCAUGGAAUUGUUUCCAUGAUAAUAGAAGGAUUGUGGACCUAAACAGAACUGAAAGAACAGAGAUUUAUAUAGAGAAAGGACAAUAAGCUGGCAGGCGCUGCUGAAGGCUGACCAUGCAAAGGUUAACGGCCAAGUGGUAGGUGUUAUGUCCAAUCCUUCAGCUGAAACAUGGAGGCUAAGCCAAAGGUUUGACCAUCUAACAUGAUCACAUCUCUGUAACCGGUAGCUCAUUUUACUGCUGGUGGUAGGUGUUAUGUGGAGGGAAAAAAUAAUCAAGAUUAGAAGCACAUCAAAUUUGAUCUUCUGAACAAGCACAUCAAAUUCUCCGAUACAUGAACGUUUGCGAUAGCUCGGUUUACUCAAUUUAAGAAGGCUAGAUUUGUCUUCUAUUCUUUGAUAAGAGAAGCUUUAUUAAUCUUAGACAACUACGUCAAGAUGAUACAACCAUAGCUGUGAUCCACACAGCUACCUAAGCCCUAAAGAAGUAGUAAAAAGCUAAAGACAUAACACCAUAUAUCCAUAUCGUAACAAAUAUCCAUUUCAGUACCUGGCUACUAAACUCCUGCGCAUGCAACCGGGCUUGAAUUGUGCAGCUAGGUUACGGGCAUAAGUACUCCUACAUUCUUAUGCAUUCCAUUUGAGCCGCUCGAUAAUUCUUGCCACGAUAAUGGAGACAAACACAAGCACCAGCAAUAUGCCUUCGUAAACGUAAUCCAUUGUGCUUCUGGCGGAGCCGAAAGUCAAUGCCCCCAUCAAAGCGAGGAGAUCCAAGACUACAAGCACGUUGCAUACCUUCAAUUUGCUCCUGCUGCUGCUGCUGAGGCGGCGCCAGAACAACUUCACUGGUUAUGAUUCCAUCGACUGCUUCAGGAGAAAACUGGGUGACGGUGACCUCUUGCAGGCUGUGCCAGAACAACUGCCGAUGAAUCACAGGCUCCCUGCAGAUACUUGGACGCCAGACAUGAUCAAGUAAUUCUUUUUUUUGAACAUUAAUGAUCAAGUAAUUCCGCCGGUUGGUUUCUUAAGUUAUCAGUACCUGGCCAUGAUCAGAAUAAAUGAGAAAAAACAACUAAAUUUUUUUAUGGAUAUAUGUAGUAGAUACCUUGCUCUCUGAAAGGUUAAAGUAAGUUUAUUUCUUUUAUAUAUGAAGCAAAAUAAAACCUUUGCAGUUUGAUUAAUUGAUUGAGGUUAGUUUUGACGUAAGUAUACUAAUACAAUUAGCAUGGUGAAAGCACCUUUAAUUAUACUAAUAUAUCCAAAUCUGAUUAGAAAAAUAGCAAAAGGACUAACGAACCUUUUAGAAAUAUAUAAACGCAUUUUCCACCUGCAAAUCAAAGGAAAUGAAAGAAUGAGACGGUAAGAAUCCACAUGACUUACUAGCAGAAUCACCUAGAUACUUCUUCAGGCCAAAUCUGGAAGAUCGGGUAGGGGAACAGCAGGGAGGGAGCGUAGUGGGAGCAGAGGAGAUGACCGGACCACCGGUGGUGAGGACGGAUUGGAAUUGGAGGCCGCAGGCAGGCGGCGCGGAGGUUGCGAAUGGAUGGGGCUCGGGACUCCGGGAGGUGGUGGUGGUGGUGGUGACUGCCUGACUGGUAAUGGCUGGGCACCGGAGAGGACUGCUGUGGCAGUGAGAACCGAGGAGUCGGCGGUGGUGGCCUGGUGGGGGAGCUUGGCACCAUUUUCUGUCGAGAAACUUUCGGCUACUCGGUGGUGGUGGUGGGAGUCAUGCUCGGCAAGGCCCAUCAGCAUUUUCCACCAGCGCUGCAAUGCUACCCUACAACAUGCAUCUUGGAUCUGCAUGAAUACACAUCAGCUUCAUUGGUAUCCUUUUUCAUCGGCACCAAGAUGUUUAAUUAAAACUGAGAACAUGCAGAACUUAGGACUUACUAGCAUCCUGAUAUCCUAGUCUGCAUGCCCAAUUCAAGAAGGGGGGCAAAAUGUCUAGGAACACUUCGGUGCUUUUUGUAGCAGCUUGUGCGUAUCUACCAAACCCUCUGUCUUCACUAUUUCCAUCGUCCUGUAUUUUGUUGAUUUUUAUGUAAUUCUCAUUAAGUUGUCGGCCAAUAUAGAAAUUUGGGUAAAUUCUUAGUUGCUGACUUAUUCAUCUUGUCCCUACUUCAAUGACCAACGAUAUCGAACUUUCAAUGAACAAGGCAUCACCUAGAAAAGAAAUGUUCCUCCAAUUAUUCAAAAAAUUAAAUGGUAAUAAAAGAAUGGAGUGGAGUUUGAACCCAACAAGCUAGCAAGCCAUUACUGCAAAUGUGGACCUUUGCAUCGCAGAAACAAUAAGGAAUGACUAGAGCAAAUCUCUUGAUCGAAGCAAAUGUGGAUGCUUCUCCAGCGAUGUUGGCGGCUGCAGUUGCCAUCCUCGCCGUUGUUGCAUCGCUCCCACUACUGCUCCGCCUCCUCUCUGCCAGCUCCGGCGGCAAGAAGACGAAGCCCCCACUGCCUCCCGGUUCGUUCGGUCUACCUUUCAUCGGGUAGACGCUCAGCCUGGUUCGCGCCCUCCGCGCCAACACCGCCGACGACUGGCUCCGGCGCUACGUGGUCGCGUACGGCCCCGUGUCGCGUCUGUCCCUCUUCGGCUGCCUGACGGCCUUCCUCGUUGGCCCCGCCGCCAACAAGUUCAUCUUUGCCAGCGCCGCGGUGACCGCCAAGACCGCCAAGACCCCCGAGUCCCUCGCCCGGAUGGUCGGCCGCCGGACGAUCCGGGAGGUGGUCGGUGACGAGCACCGCCGAGUCAGGGCCACGAUGGCGCAGUUCCUCAGGGUGGACGCCGUCAAGAGGUACGUCGCCGGCAUGGACGGAGAGGUCCGGCGCCACCUCGACGCCGAGUGGUGCUGCCGCGGUGCCGUGGCCGUGAUGCCGUCGAUGAAGCUGCUCACCUUCGACGUCAUGUGCACCGCCAUAUUCGGCCUGGGGAGGGACGCCGCCGUACGGCGGGAACUGUGGACGGAAUUCCAGCAGCUGGUGAGGGGCAUCUGGGCGGUCCCGGUCAACCUGCCCUUCACCAUCUACAGCCGCUGCCUCGCCGCGAGCCGGGAUUAAAUCGUCCGUGGAAAGGAUUGCAGGCGCCCGACAGUGGCGGGUGGCCGCCCGGCGCAAGCAGCCUCCACGUCGACCUCUCUGGAAUUACAGCACCACAUGAAGCUAUUCUCAGUAUCCCUCCAGGUAUUUGCAGAUGCUGCCAAUGAAUCACCUCCAUUUGACCCCGAGUACACUCUCAAGAUCGAGAUCUUCAAGGCGGACAUCAAUGACGGCAUAUGGGUUUCAGUCACGGGUCGUGAUGCGCUACAUGAAGGUGAGGCAUUCUUUCUCAGCCAUCAUUCAGAAAGUCCACCCAUGUGUACGGAGACAUGGAAGAGGGUUGUGUCGGGACUAUAGCCCCUUUAUUCACGGGUCAAUUUUAAACCGGGUAAAAGUGUAAUAUCCCUUAAAUUGAGCGAUAUUAAUUGUGCCAGUUUUUGUAAAAAAUUAAAACUUUUUAUUUGAUCGUGUGAAGCGUAUAAAUACUUGGUCAAAUUUAAGAUCAACCCUUAAUUCUUUCUUCUAAAUUCAAAAGCUAGUAAUUAAAUUGUGUAUUUAAAUUUAAAACAUGCUUGCACGAGUGAUUUAGAUUUUAUUUGAUUUAAUUUGGAUCUCAAAGGUAGAUCAAAAAAUACAAACUAAAACUAGCAUAAUAAAAAUCCAACAUGACUAACUCUAACUUGCACCCGAGCUUUUCACAACUCAGCCAGCUCGGUCUAAACGGCUAAUCCUUAUCUCUCUCUCCUUUUCACGUAAAAGCUCACCAGCUGUUGUUGGAAGCCAAUCAUGUUAGCUUUGCUUUGGGCUUAAACCUGUUUAGCAUCCAUCUUCUUUUGCUCCUUGUUUUCUCCUCGCACGCACACAAACUAGGAAUUUUUUUAUUUUUUAUUUUAGCAUUUUGCAAAAAUAUAUGGUCGGAUGAAAAAAUUGCAAAACUAGGCUAUUGUCGCCGGCUGGGCCGGCGGUAAGGCGCUUCCGCCGGUCCAGGCGGCGGUAAGGAGCGGUUGGGCCGGCGGAAGGCCUUACCGCUCGCCCAGCCAGCGGUAACGGGUACACUCCUCCGCACCAUACUUUUAAAAAAUCAUAACCAAUUCAUAUCAACUCGGAUGGAGAUAAACUUUAUAUAAAAUUUGUAGAUCUCGACGAGAUCUACAACUUUGUAGUUAAAUUUUUUUUCAUUUGAUGUUAUAUUGGUGCUCAAAUAAUUGACACAAGUUUCAGAUCUACAUCUGAAACUUGUGUCGAUUAUUUCAGCAACUAAAUGACUCCAAAUGAAAAUAGUUUGAACUACAAAGUUGUAAAUCUCGUCGAGUGCUACAAUUUUCAUAUAAAUUUAUUUCUAUCUGAACUUAUAUGAAUUAUUUAUCAUUUUUGAAAGUGUGCUGCCUAAUUUCAAAUCUAAAAAUUAAAUUUUAGAUCUGAAACUUGUGUCGAUGUUUACCGCUAGAUUUUUCCAAUAGAGUGCUCAUGUUAGUAAAAAGAUUUUUCACCGUUGGAUCCUACCUUUGCCGCUCUAUUUUUAUCCCAAUGAUGAUUUUAGCGUUGGAUAGAAGUAUCGCGAGUCUUGUGGUGGCUAUUCGGCAAAGUAAAAUAUCUGGAUUUUAUAGUACCUAGCUAGCGUUGGCUAGAAACAUCGCGAGUCUUGUGGGGGUUAUUCGGCAAAGUAAAAUAUCUGGUCAUCUCCUCAUCUUUUCCCUGUAAUAAAAGGUGGGAAGCUUGCCAUCAAUGCAUUGUACAGUCCUUCACAAAAUGCCUUUUUAUCAAACUACUGUACAUUAGAUAGAAUAUAUUAAAAUAAUGGAAUCGAUUAAAACAAUGAAGAAAAUAUCCCUAGGAGAUUUGGAGGUUCUUCAUCAGAUGAAAUAGAUUAAAAAAUGAAGGAAAUGUCCUAGGGGAUUAAAAAAUGAAGGAAAUGUCCUAGGGGAUUUGGAGGCUCUUCUUAUGAACAAAUCAUGUUCCAGUCCAAUUUUAUGAUUUGCUACACAUCAAAAAAAAUACACAAACAUCUAACCUAUAUAAAAAAAUUACAAAAACAUCAUAAAUCAACAUGUGCAAGGAUGGUUUAUUGUAGCUAACUACCCAAUGCAACAUGCCAAAUAAAUUGGAUGACCAAAAAUCUAUCAGCAUCUUUCCUUCCUUUGUUCACAAGAGAUGGGUACUGGGUUUGGGCGCCGGAGUCAGCUGCCAGCAUCAGGGAUAUUGGACCUAAUAGAUCAAAAAAUAACAAUUCCACACAACAUCAAAAUAAUUUGCUAAAGCGGGUUGCUGACGCCGCUUCUUUCUCCUGACACUCCUGACGCUCCCUUGCCUCGCGCUCCCUCGCUUCCCUGGCUUUCUUCUCUGCCAUCCGGUGCCCCUCCUCGUGAUCGCGGGUGAACUUGACUUUGUACAGGCCUUCCUUGAGACGGCAAGGGCGGCACCCCCACCACUCCAUCUGAUUCAACAUCUCGCCGCCGAGCGCCCCCACCCCCACCGGGGCAUCCGCGCGCGCGUUGGCUUCUCUCCGCGCGCGCGCCCGCCCCACCGGACUGUCGUCACCGUUGCCGCCCUCGAGCUCGAGCGCGAGCGCGUCGUUCGCGGUGGCUCCCCCCAUUGGUCGGUCCCGCCGAGCGCCGCCUCCCUUCGUCGCGUGCGUCGCCGCCGCCGCCGCCCGCUGUGUUGCUUGAGGAAGGAGUUGAAAGAGGAGCCUGCUGAUGGCUUGGGCCGAAUUUUCGGGUGGUAUAGAGAGGCUUUGUUUUCUCGAGCGAGGUUGUUUUAUCAGUAUACUUCUGUAGAUAACUUUAGUUUGUAUUUUUUGAUCUAAUCCAAAAAUACAAACUUACCUUUGAGAUCUAAAUUAAAUCAAAUAAAAUCCAAAUCACUUGUGCAAGCAUGUUUUAAAUUUAAAUGCAUAAUUUAAUUACUAGCUUUUCAAUUUAGAGGAAAGAAUUGAGGGUUGACCUUAAAUUUGACCAAGUAUUUAUAUGCUUCACAUAAUCAAACAAAAAGUUUUCAUUUUUUGCAAAAAUUAGAACAAUUAAUAUCACUCAAUUUUGAGGGAUAUUACACUUUUGUCAUGAUUUAAAGUUGGCCCGUGAAUAAAGGGGCUUUAGUCCCGACGCAACCCUCCAUGUCUCCAUACACACGAGUGGACUUGUUGAAUGAUCGGCUCAGAAAGAGUGCCUUGCCUUCAGUUAGCGUAUCGAUCCGUGAUUGAAACCCAUCUGCCAGCAUUGAUGUCCGCCUUGAAGAUCUCGACCUUGCAAGUGUACUUGGGGUCAAAUGGAGAUGAUUCAUCAGCAGCAUCUGCAAUUACCUUGAGGGACACUGAGAAUAGCUUCCUGUGGUGCCGUAAUCCUAGAGAGUUGUGGUGCCGUAAUCCGGUCGACGCGGAGGCUACUGGCGCCGAGCGGCCACCCGCCGUUGUCGGGUGCCCGCAACGAGUACUGCCUCCGGAGCUCCUGGAUCUUCGGCUGGAUCCGCUUCCACACGAACUCAACCUCCACGAUGGGUGCCCCCGCCGCGACGGGCGGUAGUGGGGGUAUGGGGCCCGCAAGCGCUGACACCAACGUGAGGAGGUGCUCAAGCUCACAGUCGGCGGCCAUGGCGAGCAGCGGGAACGCGGGGCCUGACGGCGAGGAGGAGGAGGAGGAGAAGCUCCCGGUGCGCGGCCAUGGCGAGCGGCGGGCGUCCGGGGGCGGUGGAUGGAGGCGGAGGGACUGCGCGAGUGUGUGCGGGAGAAAAAAUAGAACGGGAUGAAACGAACCGGUAUGUUCAUAAUUUAUGGUAGGUGGGUAAUUUUUUACCCUAAAAUCACUUGAAAAUAGGGGAAGGUGCUUUUGAUUUUGGACUGGAGCAAAAGUAACUUUUGGGCAAAAGCACAUGUGGCUUGUAGGUCAUUUGGUUAGCUUUCGACUUUUGUAAAAGUAAAAGCAGGUCGAAAAGCUCAAUCAAAUGCACCCUAAUAAACUUGCGGACGCAGACUUAACUAUAAAGCUGUUGUGCAAGGUCUGGAAGCAAGUACACCGCGGAAUUCAAAGUAUUUCUUCUGACCAACUCGCACAGGUCAAGAGCAUAGUUCGUGGCUAUUCCAAGAAAUCGUACGAAGACAAAACCUUUUCUUCGCUACUGUCAUCAUCAGAAUGAGGUGACAUGAUUUAAUAGCUCAUAUAAGAUGUAGGCAUGUAGCGUCUAAACGACUUUAAUAGUUCGGCAUGCACCCACCCAUCAACUUUCAGUGCUCUCUUUUAUAAGGAUUAAUUCAUUGUUUAUUGUUGGCUAAAAUGAUGACCAUGAACAUAUUCUCAAGAGUUUCUGUGUCCGUUUAAGACAUUUGAAGGUUAAAGAAAGCACCAUCAACAAGAAACAGAUUUGUAAACACAGAGGGAAGGGUCAAUCUCCCCCUAUACGGAUGCAUUCAAACUAUUAUUGAUGCUUUGUUGUUGCCUUCUAACUAGUUCUAGUGCUGCUUGUGCGUCAAACCAUGAGUUUUGGAGGGAAAAGCCCGUUUGCUAUGCCGUGGAAGGCUAAACGGCCUGCAAGACGAGGAUCUGGUGUCGAAUACUUGGUCCACAUCCACAAAAUAUAUGCAAACCUCCUCCAUGUCUCCAUACACACGGGUGGACUUGCUGAAUGAUCGGCUGAGAAAGAGUGGCUCGCCUUCAGGUAGCGCAUCACGAACCGUGAUUGAAACCCAUCUGCCGGCAUCGAUGUCCGCCUUGAAGAGGUCGACCUUGCGAGUGUAAGAGGGGUGAAAUGGAGGUGAUUGCACCUGCCGCCUCACCAUGAGCAACUCUUGGCCGCCGCAUGACUCGACAAGGAACCUACUGGUCGUGAUGUAGUCCUUGGGUUCAUAUGGCACCUCCUCGUCCACCCCAACCUCGUCAGCGCUUGGAACCAGCUGGCCAUUAUCAGGAUUGAAGCUAUCAGCUGCCUCAUCACCGGACUCUUCUCCAUCAUCACCACCACCAUCAUCGGUAUCGUAGUCAUCAUCCAUCCAGCUCCACGGGUCUUCUUCACCAUCAGCUAACGGAUGCCUGAUGACUCGCUUAAAUUUGGGAACAAUUGGACUCCCGUCGUCGUCUUCGGUAAGGUCGAAGGCGACUAGGUCCUCAUGUCGUGUGAUCCCGUAGAGUUUAUCUUUGAAGAAAGCAACAUCGAAGACGCCUAGGUAGGGAAGCACCCACCUCCCCUUGCCGGGGCGGCACGGAUGAUGGUGCAGUUGUCGUUGUUGGUGGUGACGGCGACGAGGUCAUUAGGACUAGCGUCACGCGUCCUCCUCCUCCUCCUUCCUCGUCGGCGUCUUGGUGUUGGGUUGCGAGGAUUUCUUGGACUUUGCAGCGCAGCGGUGGAUGGAAUGACGGCAGGAGCGGCCGCUGAUCCCGCGCUAAUUUUUAUACUCCUAACCGUAUGUAAAAAUAUGAUAAUCUGCGUGCUUUUUGGGCGCCAAACGGUCUGAAUUAAGACAAGGGCCAUGCUUCUCUCGCCAUUGUCCUCCAGAGUUUAGGGUCCCCUAGUAUAUGGAGCAUGCUUUUUAAUGCCAUUUCCAAUAUAUAGAAAGUAGAAAAUACUUUACAAUCAGUGUGGGGGUAAAUUUUGAAUUAUAUAUACGCUACUAAUUAAUAACUGGAAUAUAUGCUUAGCAAUGAAUUUACAAUUAAUAAUGAGGGAAAGGAGUCCUUAAACGCAUCCAACUCAUUAUUUCUGGUCCGCACCGCCGUUAUAUAUAUCCAACAAUGGCAUUGCUCGAUCGCGACCCUGAAAUCCACAGAUUGUAAGAAGCUCAACGAUGGCAUCGUCGUCGCCUCCGCCGUGGGCCGAUCUCCUGCCGGAAGUCCUCGGCGAGAUCGUCACCUACCUCUGCUCCGCCGACAUCGCCCGCUUCCGGGCCGUUUGCCGCGCAUGGCACUCCGCCGCCGCGUGCGAGCUGUAGGACGAACAGCAGCAGGUGAUGCUGUGGAUCGUGAUCCCCAAUGGCUCCUUCUGCACCAUCGGCGACACCGGCGCCUUCUUCAACCGGAUUCCCAGCCUGCCUGACAACGUGACCUGCCUCGGCGCCACCGACAGCUGGCUCGCUCUCGACUGCACCGACGAUGUGUUCCGGCGCACAAACCUCUGGGACACGUACCGCGACGGCGAAUUCCUCGAGCCCAGGAGCGACGUCAAGCACGAGCACAAUUACACAACCCCUUCUACGAAAAGACCGUGCCGCUCCCCGAGCUCGACUCCAUCGCCGGCCAUGUCAACGAGACGUUCGAGAUCCGCAAGGUGCUCAUGCGCUCCGCUAGUCCUGAUGACCUCGUCGCCGUCACCACCAACAACGACAACCGCACCAUCAUCCUGUGCUUCCCUACCUAGCAUUCAAAGGAAAACUCUGCAGGUAGUACUAGUGCUCCAUCAGUUGCAGAAUGUUGAAAUGCUAAAUAUCAUGCAGACACACUAUGGCAAAUGUCGUACAGACAUACUGAAUUAUAGUUUAACUAUGCGUUAUUCAUACAAGGAAAUAUUUGAUUAGUAAGGUAGCAAGUAACAUCGGCAUCCCUCAGUUCCAAGUAGUACAUUCAUAAAUUUUAGUAGUACCCAUUCAUGUUUGUAUCACUGAUAAGGAACCGUAAUGAAUUCACCUUUUACGUUCAUCUUGCUGUUGUGCGAAAUUGAAAGCAGUAGAUCCUACAUCAAUAAUCAACCCUUGCUGUUAUGCGUUUGCCUCCCUCCGCCGCCGCCCCACCCGCGCCGGAGCGUCGUCACCCCCGAGCGCGUGCGCCAGUGCGUCGUUCGCCGCCGCAGCUCUCCCCAUUGCUCUCCCACGCUUCCGUCGCCGCCGCUCGCUGCGAGGUGGCUUGAGGGAGGGGAUGAAAGAGAGACGGCCUGCGGGCUGGAGUAAAAGGAAGAGAGGCGAGCUGGGCUGGCGAGCAGGCUGCGGGGGACAAAGACGAGACGGCCUGCGCGCCGGCUGGGGCGCUGGGAGGGCCGCGAUGCUGGGCCAGAGGAAAGGGGCGGCCCGCUGCAGCUGAUGGCUUAGGCCGAUUGCUGCGGUGGGCUGGGCCGGAAGGAGAGGCAGGGCGAGAAGCGAAUUUUUUUAUUUUUAUAUUAUUUUUUAACGAAUUUUCACAAAUAUAUAAUCAAAUAAAAAAUUUGCAAAAUAGGCUUGUGCCACCGGUUGAAUAGAGAGGGUUUGUUUAUGCCUGUGCUGCUGUGCCGAAGGCACGAGGUAUCUUGCCCAGGGGAGUCUCAGACCUUGCUGCUGGGCCGAAUAUCUUGCACUAGAUAUUAUAGAUGUACAUUUGGGCCACCCGGCCCGGUCCAGCACGGCCCAGCAUGGCCCGUUAUUUUUUGUGCCGGGUCUAGCCCGUCAUGAGGACUCCGUCGUGCCGAGUUGUAACGGCCCACGGGCCUCACCGGCGGCCCAAGCACGGGCCCGUAAAGCUUUUUUUGUGUCGAGCCGGCCCGAAGAUCCCGGCCUGCUUUGGGCCACGGGAGGCACGGCGGGCCACCGCCGCUAGUCCGCUACUGUCCCCUCGUGCCGCCACCAGCCUCCCACGCCGUCGAUGCCGUCCCCCCGCGGCUAGCACCGCCACCGGCCUCACACGUCGUCGUUGUCAUCCCCCCGCGCAGCUGCUCCCCGGCCGGCCCCUGCGCUAUCGUGACCACUCCCUGCCCCUCCCCCCGCGCUGCUGUCCCUCCGCGCCACUGCUCCCUGGCCGGUCCCCACACUGUCGCCGCCGCUCCCCGACCCCCCGCGCCGCCGUCCCCUUGCACGGCCGUCGCUGUCGUCCCCUCACGCCGCCACUCUCCAGCCCCCUGCGCUGCCGCUCGCCGAUGGGGAAGAUGCGAGAGAUGGGUGGAGGAUUGGAGCCUGGACCGGAGGUUGGAGAUUCGGUGGCCUGGACUGGAGGUUGGAGAUUCAGAUUCAAUUGGAGAUAGGAGAGGUCGAGAGGAAGGGGUGACGCCGUGACGGGUGGAAGAUUGGAGUUCAACGGUGCAUAGUAUUUUUUUGUUGCUAUUAGGUUAACGGGCCAUUUCGGGCCGGAAUGCAAAAAUUGUGCCGGGCCAUGACGCCCGUCGUGCCGAGGCGACAACCCACGCCUAGCACGAGUCAUCGGGUCAGGCCAGGUUGGGCUUGAAAUGGGCCAAAAAAUGGGCUUUGUGUUGGACUGCGGGCUGCAUGGUCAUCUAUACUGUACUAGAUAUCUUGCUGCUGGGCCGAAUAUGUUCAGCGUGCGUAAAGUAUUUAUUCGAUAUCAGAAUUGCUAUUGUAUCUGUGCAUGCUUUUACUUGAGGACUUAUGUGUGAAUACCUAUAGUACUGCUGAGCUUUUGUAUCAUGGACUGUAAGGAGGACAUAAAUAAAAAUUACGUCUGUUCCAUUGUUAGAUGUUUCCUACACUGUUAACCUAACUAUUUAUUCGAUAAAAAACUUGGAACUUUAGCUGCUUCAGACCAUAAAAGUAAAAUCUUGCUUUGCUAAGCCCUCAUUUGUAUGUCUCCAGGGAUAAGAAUGUGAAGCACCUGUGCCAUCAUCAUCAUCAGCUUAGCAGGGUCACUUUGAUAUUCCAACGAAAGGCACCUUGCUAGCCUCCCUGAUUGCCCCCUAACAAUGAAGACGCAUGAGCGAGCUGCCAAUUUGGCUCUUGCUGGUACAUUUCUUGUUCAAUUCAGUCAUCGCUGCCUUUGCAAUCUUUACCUUGAUACCUUCUUCCUUUUCUUUUGAUAAAAAUGAAAACUUGCUGACCUCUGCGUCCUCUUUUUUUUAACAAUAUAUGCAGCUUUGAGUUUGGCACCACUUGUGGUUAAUGUAAACCCAAAUGUGAAUGUGAUAUUGACAGCAUGUCUUACUGUCUAUGUCGGUUGUUACCGUUCUGUCAAGCCAACUCCACCCGCUGUAAGAAAUAUGUUUUUCUUUGCUAAGUAUAUGUAUCUUCUGGGUAUUGCCUUGACAUGAAAAUCAUGAGACUAAUUGAUUUCUUUGCUAAGUAUAUGUAUCUUCUGGGUAUUGCCUUGACUCAACCAAACCAGCUGCAAGAGUCCAAAGCAAACACGGUUCAAACCGGUCAGUGGUUAUGGACCUCCUUCCUAAGUAGCCUUUUGAAAGGCUGAGUUCGACUCCACCUGGGCUCCUCUUUUUUGAGGAUUUGUACUCACUUUUUUUUCCUUUUUUUUCCUUUCGGCGGGUGAGUAUUUUUGCUCACUUUUUUCCGGGGCGGUUCACAGGUGGGGUCACGGUUUUCCUCUGGUUCAGGGUAGUACAGCUCCUCUUUUUUGAGGAUUUGUACUCACUUUUUUUUUCCUUUUUUUUCCUUUCGGCGGGUGAGGAUUUUUGCUCACUUUUUUCCGGGGCGGUUCACAGGUGGGGUCACGGUUUUCCUCUGGUUUAGGGGUAGUACAGCCUCGGGAUGCGGUUUUCUUUCGGUUCAGGGUUACAGAGGCUAGUUUUUCUCCGGUUUUGCACUCCAUGGUCCGAUUCAUGUGGUGGGAGUCGAUUUUUCUUCUUCUUUUUACCAGUUCUAUGUGACGGACGAAAAUUAGUGGCAAAAACCUUGCUUGCUUUAAUAUUAGGUAGAGAUAUACAAAAGAGGUGGAAUAUCAAUAUAGUAGAAAAGAAGCCCAUCUAGUCCUGCCAUGUUAAUGAAAAGAAAAAUAAAAAUCAGUUCGGCGGUCAAUACUAACAAAAAAAAAUUCUCUCUAGAAAACACUCAUUGGCCUUUGGGGCGAGGCGGGCCAUGAGAGCGGCAGUGGUAUUGCUGGCAUUGUUCUCCUCGAUGAAACUGAUAGUGGAGUUGAUGAUGAGUAGAGUGAUGAUCCCUACAAAGUCCUGCCAGUCCGGUGGCUUCCCCUGAAAAAUCAGCAAAACACAUUAAACCCUCUGAACCCACAGCUCCAACAAGACACCCGCUGUGAGAAUCAUUCACUUACUCCUCCGUUGGAGGGCGCGAUGGCCACGAUGGCGGCUGCCUCCAUGACCCAGGACAACGGGUUCCACAUGAAGCCCAGAAACUUGAGCACCUUGCUCCCCGCACAAGCACACGCACACAAAUCUAUGAUGUAACUUCACAUCACACCAUCUGCUAGAUCGAGUAACAAACCGAGUAACAGGAGCAGAAAGGCACGAGGCAAAGGCCGCGGAUUCACCUGCUUCUCCUCCAGCUUGUUUCGCCUGCUCGGUGGAGAGGCCCUGCGGGCUGCAUCGUAGGUUCUCGAACACCUCCUCGAUCGGGAUGUUCUCCUGCGCAGUCACAAGAAAUAUGAUAGGAAGAUGGCACAACUUAUAUCGACACCAUAUUGAAGUCGACAGUACCGGAUUUUUGGAAGGACUCCAAUCAUCCAAUCAAUUGAAAUAUCUUUGUCUGAGAGGCAUCUCUAGAAUCACUGAACUUCCUGCUUCCAUUGGUGGACUCUCAAAUCUCAGGAUCUUGGAUCUUCAUUCUUGUCAUAACCUUGAGAGGCUGACUGCAAGCAUCACGUCUCUUCAGAUGCUCACCCACCUUGAUGUGUCAGAGUGUUACUUGCUGGAAGGCAUGCCGAGGGGUAUUAGCUUUCUUACUGAACUUCAAGUGCUCAAAGGGUUUGUCAUUGGUGGUUCCACUGGCAAUUACAAUUGUCGGGUAGCAGAGUUGGCCAGGCUGGACAAAUUGAAGAAGCUGAGUGUAUAUAUUGGAAGCAAAGUUACAGUGAUAGAAGACGAAUUGAUUGAGCUUGAGAACAUCAAAGGCCUUCGCGUGCUGAAAAUUACAUGGGCUGUAUCACUUUCAAAGAAGGAGCGAGUUCAUCAAACUUAUGAUUCAACAUCAUUGCUAACUUCACUUUCCCUACCUCUAAAUCUUGAAAAGCUAGACCUGCGCUGCUUCCCUGGAGAGAAGAUACCAGAUUGGUUAAGUCCAAGUAAGCUGUUGAGACUGAAGAGACUAUACUUCACCGGAGGAAUGCUAAAUACCUUUGGCGAAAAAAAACAUGUCAGAGGUGUGGAACAUUGAGGUAUUGCGCCUGAAAUUCUUGAAUGAUUUAUCAGUGCAAUGGAUCCAGGUGCUUGACAUAUUAGAUGUAUGAAGCUGAAAUCUUUCCCUUGCGACAAGGAUGGGGUCUGGAUGAACUCUGACAUGCAGGAAGUCAGCAAACCAAGAACAGAAUCGUCCACCUUUUUGGGGGGACACGCGUUGGAGAAAAACAAUCUCGCUGCUCGGGAGCGGCGGAAAACGGCGCGGAUUGGGCGAACGAGUGCGGAUUGAGAAGGCGAGACGAGCACUGAAAAGGUGAAAUGAAAAAAAGAAAAAACAUGGAGAGAAAUCGAGCGUAGCCGCAGCGAGAUGCGGCACAAGACUAACACGAACUGGAGGGACUCCAUGGGCCUCCGCCCUGCGCCGCCGCAAGCCCCGCCCUCGCCGCCGUCCCCUUUGCCGGCCCUCCCAUGCCGCCGCCAGGCGAGAGGAGAGGGAGCCACGGGCGAGAGGCUUGGGCGAGAGGACCGGAAUGGCGCAGACACUGCGCACGCGGAGGACGGGAGUAUACGAAAUAAGCAAGCUCACAACCGAAGCACGGGCCUAUUAUUAAAGCCAUGGUGUUUUUGGAGCAGCAAUCAGCAACAGAAACACAGCUCAAUGCAGAGACAAAGCAGGCAUCAACAGAAAAGCAAGCAACAAUACCAAAUAAGCAAGCAACCAUGCCAUUCCAGGUAGAAUAAGGUUCACGUUCUAAGAACUUGAUGACAAGUCACUGGACCACACUACUAAUAGUAUACGAGGGAGACCAACAAAAUCUCAAGUUUUGUCACCACUGUAGAACACCAAGAUUAUUUACUUUUGUUUUCCAAACACUAUCAUAUCCUCUGCAGUAAAUCUCGCUGCCGGCUUGGCCACAUCUGGAGUCUUAGCCUGCAACAUGUGGAAAAGAGAACCAAAGAGUGAGCGACUAGCAGCCAAACCAAGAGUGAGCGACUAGCAGCCAAACCAAAGUCAGAUCUCAGUAUGCAGGAACAAGCAACUCAACUCUUAAUGAAAAAAUGUGGAAUAAUUGAGAACACUAAGAAGGUAGAACCUGAAGCUCAGGAAAAGUUCAGAAACAGUUCAUUAACCCGAUGCUGGAUAAAACAGCGAAGAAUCUGCGUCAAGCCUUUGGCCUAAAUGGUCUGAGGGAGACCCUCUAAACGCUUCACUGUCUGGGGGAGGGGGGGGGGCAGUGGACUGGUUUAUUUUACAUGAACACUUCACUGUCUUAUGUAUCCUGUGCUUUAGUAAAGGAACCUGACCUGAGGAGGAUAGCUAAUGCUAUGUUAUGCUGUCAAAAAAUGUCCAUAAAGGACUAUGUGUUUUUAUCUUCUAAUUUAUGUGUGAUGGAGGGAAGCAAGUUUCUGUCUAGAAUGAAAGGGGCCGCACAAGGAGCCAAGCAGCUGCUCAGUUGAGAUUGAGUAACGUCAAAGCUGCCAAUGAAUGAACAAAACUGUAAAGUUCUAAAUUGGAAUGUUAGGGGCCUCAAACACCAAGAAGUAACACUUUUAAUUGGGAAACCAUGAAUUUGCCGAGACAGGACUUAGCCACCUUGAAGCUGAAUUCACUGAUGAGGAAAUCAGACAAGGGAUCUGUCACGACCCUGGGGUAGUGAGCGUAGAGGGUAGCUAUGGGAGAUUGCCGGCCGCUGGGCUGCUGGCUUCUUGCCCGUGUUGCUUGAGAGAGGGUCACCUAAGCGACAAUGGCAGCAGGGAUGAGGACAGAAAGCAGGAUGAGAUAGCAGAUUGGUUUUUAAGCUUGCUUUAUUAAUUCUGUGUGCCUGCUAUAUAUAGGCCGAAUUACAAUUAGAGAUAGAGUCCUAUAAUGACUCAACUCCUAUAUCUAAACUAACUGCUCAACUAAUAUUAAUCCAAUCUGAUAGAGUCCUAUAAUAACUCAAAUUCCUAUAUCUCAACUGACUGUUUCCCUAAUAGCGGCCUGGAGUCUGCUAGCCUGCCGACUGCCUCUUCCUUCUCUGAUAUGUAAUUCCGACCAUAAUAGGAUCAUGGAUAUGCAACAAGAAUCUGCUCCUGGACCGGAUGGCUUCAUUGGAAAGUUCUUUUCAUCAUGCUGGGACAUUAUCAAGGAGGAUCUAUGUGCAGCCAUCCAAUACUUUUACAACCUGCAUGGCCAACACUUCAACCUUUUGAAUUCAGCCCAUAUUGUUCUUAUUGCCAAAACCUCAGAUGCAACUAGGAUCGGGGGACUAUAGACCCAUCAGUUUGACAAGCAGCAUAUCAAAGAUCAUCUCAAAACUUUUGGCAAACAGGUUGUCACUACACAUCAACCAACUGGUCUCCAUAAACCAGAGUGCCUUCAUUAGGAAGAGAAGUAUCCACUUUUUAUACACCCAGAAUACUAUUAGGCACUUGAACAGAUCACACCUUCCUGCAUUGUUCCUCAAAUUAGACAUCACAAAAGCCUUUGACUCGGUCAGAUGGGAUUACUUGCUAACGCAAAUUCUUCGCUAUUUUAUCCAGCAUCGGGUUAAUGAACUGUUUCUGAACUUUUCCUGAGCUUCAGGUUCUACCUUCUUAGUGUUCUCAAUUAUUCCACAUUUUUUCAUUAAGAGUUGAGUUGCUUGUUCCUGCAUACUGAGAUCUGACUUUGGUUUGGCUGCUAGUCACUCACUCUUUGGUUCUCUUUUCCACAUGUUGCAGGCUAAGACUCUAGAUGUGGCCAAGCCGGCAGCGAGAUUUACUGCAGAGGAUAUGAUAGUGUUUGGAAAACAAAAGUAAAUAAUCUUGGUGUUCUACAGUGGUGACAAAACUUGAGAUUUUGUUGGUCUCCCUCGUAUACUAUGAGUAGUAGUGUGGUCCAGUGACUUGUCAUCAAGUUCUUAGAACGUGAACCUUAUUCUACCUAGAAUGGCAUGGUUGCUUGCUUAUUUGGUAUUGUUGCUUGCUUUUCUGUUGAUGCUUGCUUUGUCUCUGCAUUGAGCUGUGUUUCUGUUGCUGAUUGCUGCUCCAAAAACACCAUGGCUUUAAUAAUAGGCCCGUGCUUCGGUUGUGAGCUUGCUUAUUUCGUAUACUCCCGUCCUCCGCAUAAAUUAGAAGAUAACAACACAUAGUCCUUUAUGGACAUUUUUUGACAGCAUAACAUAGUAUUAGCUAUCCUCCUCAGGUCAGGUUACUUUACUAAAGCAUAGGAUACAUAAGACAAAAUUGAACACAUCAAAAUUGACCAGAGACAACAAAAGUUAAACAAUACUCAAUCCAUAUAUUUUUUCUUUGUUUUUCGAAUUAUGCAUGUAUAUACGUGGCCAUGUAGAUGGAGUAUAGGAGCAGCACAACUUUCUAAUAGGAGCAGCAAAACUUUCUAUCCUAUUAUUGAGACCUUUUGUGCCAUGGUAUGACUAGGAGGGAGAGAAGCACCUCUAUUUAUAGUUCCUUAUGAUCAUUGUGGUAUUGACAUGUGGCAACUUGCAUACUCUUUCAUACAAAAUAUCCUAACUCUAAAACCCUCAUCAUCAUUAUUUAGUUUCUUAUAUUUCUAACAUGCUAAAAUAUCUAGUUCUAGAGUAUUCUACACUUCACCAUGAAGUAUGGCAACUAUGGCUCAUGCAUUCUCUCCAAUUUUCUAGAACCUUCCUACCUUGCCAUGAUCUUAUCCUUAUACAUGGCAAAGUUAGUCUUUCAAGAUUUCCCCAAUCUUCGAGAAUGUUCUAAGUAUGCAUUACAUACUUCAAUAAAUAAAAAUAAGAGCAUGCUUCACUUUGUUAGUUGGAAGCGCAUAAUGUAAAUCUGGUUCUACAUUUCAUGAUUCACAAGUUUAUUGCAUUGAAAACUUAACGGCACUUGGAAUUUUAUAUUUUUCAGUGUGAGUUAUUUAAUUACCAAAGGCUGCAAGAAGGUGUUCUUUGACUGUUUUAGGCUUUUGGCCCGCAAAUCAUUGUUGCAUGUACUUUUACCACAAUCAUCACCUUAUGGUACCACAUUUUUGGACCAUCACUAGUAGAGAACUCACCUUCCAUGCGCCUCCUUUUUCAAAUGGACCCAAAUUCCCAUUUCUAAUAAUUCAAGCCUAUGCACCUCAGUAAUAGUCCCAAGAAGGCUAUCACGUGCGAAUCCAUAUCUCAGAUAGUACAAAACCAUACAACACAAAGAAACAAGAAAAAUAGUGUACAUAAUUUAUUCAGAGUAACAUGUGUACGAGUACAUCAUUUCAGCUCAUGCCGGUACUAGCCCAUCAGGACUGAAUCAUGAAAGAGAAACACAUCUACGCAGUGAUAUCGGAAGCUAGGCGAACUCCAUCUUCAGGAGGCGACUUGAGCGUAGCACGUUUCUAGUCCUCCCAACCGUCGUUGUCAAAGUCGUUGUCGGGCUCCUCAGCUGAACAGCCACCAUCUACCUGAGAAGCGGGUAGGCCAUGUCAACUCCCAAAAGGAGCAAAAGCCAAGAAAACGGGGGAAAUAUUCUAUAUGCAUGGAUGAGCCUAUCUCUGGCUGUGGAAGGUAUGCAUGCAGCAGCAGCAGCAAUUCAAGGAAGCAAGCAUAGAUCCCGAGGUCAACGCCUCAAUAAGGAAGCCGGCACAAACACCAGCCCUUAUCCACAAGGGUCAUGUCCCAAGCACACCGGCGAUGUGAGAGCUCCCUCCCCUCACAUCUCAACGGCAAUUGCCGGCCAACACAUCUCCAAAAAGAGGGAAGGUAGAAGCAUGAGAAAAGUCUAAUCAGAAGUAGCGGUAGACAACAACAUUGUCCAUAACCAGUGGACACGGACUAUAGCUAUAGCUUUAAACACUCUAUAGAAGUUGUACACCUGUAUCCGCAUGGAUAGAGCCUGAACGGGGAUCAAUCAUUCAAACCCUAUCUAACAGCCGGAACCCUAGUAGGUGGAUAGCUCUCGGCCGCCUCCUCGAGUCUGGAACUGUCUUCAUCUACAGGGAACGCCAUCACCAGAGAAGACCUCGAGGAUGUGAAACCUAACCCUGCCAGGCUGCAGUCUUGUCAGAGCAGGUCAUCGCCUUGAACUCCUUACACGACCUCUUAUCCACCUGCAAGGAGGAGCGCUAUCCACCACUAGUCUCAGACCAAACCCCGCUCAUACGUGAGCGAUACGCUAUGUACGUAAAUAGAUAUUGUGUCUGGUGGUAAACUGAAUCAGUUCUUAAUUGGCUGAGAGCGAGCACUCUCCACAACCGGAACGUGUCGAAGUACCAACCAACCACCUCAAGCAAGGUACCCGCCACAGGUAUAGGGGAUGGGAGAGAAUCCAGAAUGAUCUCUCCCGGCAUGGCACUCCUCAGUACCUACACCGGCUCGUUCCCCCCAAAAUACAUCAAGGAGUAACACACCCAAAACACACACGAGAGUGGCUAAGGAAUACCAUCACCAAAAUCAUGGCAUAUGCCCAUCCAUAACUCACAAGCAUGCAUAUCGAUAAAAUAAAGGUGGACUAGCUAAGGGUGUGUAGCUAGCCCAGAACGGUAGGUGAAGGAAGGAAACAUGAUAUAACAAUUAUCAAGGUAUGGCUAAAAUAAUAGCUAUGCAAUCCAUUAAGCAAGCAAUAGUAAAGCGCUAGCAACUAAGCAUGCAUAGGAUCUAUAUGUUUGGGAGUGACAUGAUACCUUGUCCGAAGUCUUUCGCAUCCUCCUCGGUGAAGUCGGGGUUGUGCAAGUCGUUCUGGUCGAAGCUCGCGUCUGGCAGAGCGAAAUACAACGAAACAUAAAUUAAACGGCAUUACAUCUAGAAAAAAAUUUCAAGAAAGACAAUUUAGAAGAUCCAAAUAACUAGCUACAAACAACACGGGCUCAAUUUUACGAAUUUAAUGUAACUAGAUUCAUAUUUUUUCGAGUUUCAGUAAAUUAGUAAUGAUUUUUUAAAGUUUAAAUUGUUUAUUAAACAUUUAUUUAAAUUUAAAAGGGGAAAAACCGGGGAUGGACACGUGGCAGAGUGUGGUUGGUCCACGUGUGCUGAUGUCAGCGUUGACUAGAUCAACGGUGGGCCCUCCCCAUCAAUGAUGGACCCCACGGCACCAUGUGCGGGUCCCAUAGGUGGGGCCCACCUGCCACGUGGCACUGAUGUGAUAGCCACGUGGCAGCACGGCCGUGGCGGCGAUAGCUUGGGCCAGGCCGGCGCAUGCGUGCGGCCAGUUGGUCUGGUUGGGGGUGCAUGCUGGGGUGGCUUGUGGACGAGGUGACCUAGCAGGCCGGCAAGAGAAAACGAUGGGGAGGAAACGAGCUGGGCUGGCUGAGACACGGGCCGACUGCUAGUUUGUGUGCGUGCGAGGAGAAAACAAGGAGCAAAAGAAGAGGAAGUCAUGUUAGAUUUUUAUUAUGCUAUUUAUAUACUACCUUUAAUUUAUAUUUUUUGAUCUAAUCCGAAAAUGCAAACUCACCUUUGAGAACCAAAUUAAAUCAAAUAAAAUCCAAAUCACUCGUGCAUACAUAUUUAAAUUUAAAUGCAUAAUUUAAUUACUAGCUUUUGAAUUUAGAGGAAGGAAUCGAGGCUUGACUUUAAAUUUGACCAAGUAUUUAUAUGCUUCACACAAUCAAAAAAAAUUAAUUUUUUGUAAAAACUGGCACAAUUAAUAUCGCUCAAUUUUGAGGGAUAUUACACUUUUAUCCCGAUUUAAAGUUGAUCCAUGAAUAAAGGGACUUUAGUCCCGGCACAACCCUCCUCCAUGUCUCCAUACACACGGGUGGACUUUCUGAAUGAUUGGCCGAGAAAGAGUGCCUCACCCUCAGGUAGCACAUCACGACCCGUGACUGAAACCCAUCUGUCGGCAUCGAUGUCCACCUUGAAGAUCUCGACCUUGCGAGUGUACUCGAGGUCAAAUGGAGGUGGUUCAUUGACAGCAUCUGCAAAUACCUGGAGGGAUAAUGAGAAUAGCUUCAUGUGGUGUUGUAAUCCUAGAGAGGUCGACGUGGAAGCUGUUGGCUCCGGGCGGCCACCCACCGUUGUCGGGCGCCCGCAACGAGUACUGCCUUCGGAGCUCCUGGAUCUUCAGUUGGAUCCGCUUCCACACAAACUCGACCUCCGUGAUGGGCGCCCCCGCCACGACGGGUGGCAGCGGGGGCGCGGGGCCCGCAAGCGCUAACACCGACAUGAGGAGGUGCUUAAGCUCGCGGUCGGCGGCUAGGACAAGUAGCGAGAACGCGGGGCCUGAUGGCAAGGAGGAGGAGAAGCUCCCGGUGCGUGGCCAUGGCGAGCGGCGGGCGACCAGGGGCUGUGGAUGGAGGCGGAGGGAUUGCGCGAGUGUGUGCGGGAGAAAAAUAGAAUGGGAUGAAACGAACCGGUAUGUUCGUAACCAGUGGCAGGUGAGUAAUUUUUUACCCCAAAAGCACUUGAAAGCAAGGGGAAGAUGCUUUUAGUUUUGUACUAGAGCAAAAGCAACUUUUGAGCAAAAUUACAUGUGAUUUUUAUAUCCUUUGGUUAGCUUUUUACUUUUGCAAAACCAAAAGAAGGUUGAAAAGCUCAACCAAAAGCACCCUAAUAAACUUGUCGACGCGGACUUAACCGUGAAACUGUUGUGCAAGGCCUGGCUGUUGUGCGUUUGCCUCCCUCCGCCGCCGCCCCACCCGCACCGGAGCGUCAUCACCCCCGAGCACGUGCGCCAGUGCGUCGUUCGCUGCCGCAGCUCUCCCCAUUGCUCUCCCACGCUUCCGUCGCCGCCGCUCGCUGCGAGGUGGCUUGAGGGAGGGGAUGAAAGAGAGAUGGCCUGCGGGCUGGAGUAAAAGGAAGAGAGGCGAGCUGGGCUGGCGAGCAGGCUGCGGGGGACAAAGGCGAGACGGCCUGCGGGCUGGCUGGGGUGCUGGGAGGGCCGCGAUGCUGGGCCAGAGGAAAGGGGUGGCCCGCUGCAGCUGAUGGCUUGGGCCGAUUGCUGCGGCGGGCUGGGCCGGAAGGCCGGCCUGGCUGAAGAGGCACGGCGAGAAGCGAAUUUUUUUUAUUUUUAUAUUAUUUUUUAAUAAAUUUUCAUAAAUAUAUAAUCAAAUAAAAAAUUUGCAAAAUAGGCUUGUGCCGCCGAUUGAAUAGAGAGGGUUUGUUUAUGCCUGUGCUGCUGUGCCUAAGGCACGAGGUAUCUUGCCCAGGGGAGUCUCAGACCUUGCUGCUGGGCCGAAUAUCUUGCACUAGAUAUUAUAGAUGCACACUCGGGCAACUCGGCCCGAUCCAGCACGGCCUGGCAUGGCCCGUUAUUUUUUGUGCCGGGCCUAGCCCAUCAUGAGGACUCCGUCGUGCCGAGUCGGGCCGGCCCACGAGCCUCACCGGCGGCCCAAGCACGGGUUCGUAAAGUUUUUUUGUGUCGGGCCGGCCCGAAGAGCCUGGCCUGCUUCGGGCCACGGAAGGCACGGCGGGCCACCGCCGCUAGUCCGCUACCGUCCCCUCGUGCCGCCACCGGCCUCCCACGCCGUCGCUGCCGUCCCCCCGCGGCUAGCACCGCCGCCGGCCUCCCACGUCGUCGUUGUCGUCCCCCCGCGCAGCUACUUCCCGGCCGACCCAUGCGCUGUCGCGGUCGCUCCCCGCCCCUCCCCCUCGCUGCUGUCCCUUCGCGCCACUGCUCCCCGGCUGGUCCCCACGCUGUCGCCGCCGCUCCCCAACCCCCCGCGUCGCCGUCCCCUCGCACGGCUGUCGCUGUCGUCCCCUCGCGCCGCCACUCUCCAGCCCCUGCGCUGCCGCUCGCCGAUGGGGAAGAUGCGAGAGAUGGGUGGAGGAUUGGAGCCUGGACCGGAGGUUGGAGAUUCGGUGGCCUGGACUGGAGGUUGGAGAUUCAGAUUCGAUUGGAGAUAGGAGAGGUCGAGAGGAAGGGGUGAUGCCGUGACGGGUGGAAGAUUGGAGUUCAACGGUACAUAGUAUUUUUUGUUGUAUUAGGUUAACGGGCCAUUUCGGGCCGGAAUGCAAAAAUUGUGCCGGACCAUGCCGCCCGUCGUGCCGAGGCGACGACCCACGCCCGGCACGAGUCAUCGGGUCGGGCUUGAAAUGGGCCAAAAAACGGGCUUCGUGUUGGACUGCGGGCUGCAUAGUCAUCUAUACUAGAUAUCUUGCUGUUGGGCCGAAUAUGUUCAGCGUGCGUAAAGUUUUCUCAAAUUCAUGCUGACUUCAGAAUCUGUCACGAAUAAUCAAAGCCAUUAAGUAACCGGAUUCAUCCAAUGUGAUCCCUCCAUGAGACUUGCAAGAUUAACUCUGCUUAACAUUUUAGGCUAUUUGGUUAGCUUUUUGAUUUUUGCAAAAGUAAAAGCAGGUUGAAAAGCUUAACCAAUCAAAGACACCCUAAUAAACUUGCGGACGCAGACUUAACUGUAAAACUGUUGUGCAAGGUCUCGGAGCAAGUGCACCGCGGAAUUCAAAGUAUUUCUUGUGACCAACUCGCACAGGUCAAGAGCAUAGUUCGUGGCUAUUCCAAGAAAUCAUACAAAGAUAAAACGUUUUCUUCGCUACUGUCAUCAUCAAAAUGAGGUGAUAUGAUUUAGUAGCUCAUAUAAGAUGUAGGCAUGUAGCGUCUAAACGACUUUAAUAGUUUGGCAUGCACCCACCCAUCAACUUUCAGUGCUCUCUUUUGUAAGAAUUAAUUCAUUGUUUCUUGUUGGCUAAAAUGGUGAUCAUGAACAUAUUCUCAAGAGUUUCGUUGUCCGUUUAAGAUAUUUGGAGGGUACAGAAAGCACCAUCAACAAGAAACGGAUUUGUAAAAAACAGAGGGAAGGCUCAAGCUCCCCCCUAGACGGAUGCAUUAAACAAACUAUUAUUGCUAGCUAGUUCUAGUGUUGCUUGUGCGUCAAACCACGAGCUUUGGAGGGAAAAGCCAUGUCAACAACUUAUCAUCAGCCCGUUUGCUCUGCCAUGGAAGCCUAAACGGCCUGCAAGACGAGGAUUUGGUGUCAAACACUUGGUCCAUAUCCACAAAAUAUAUGCAACCCUCCUCCAUGUCUGCGUACACACAGGUGGACUUGCUGAAUGAUCGACUGAGAAAGAGUGUCUCGCCUUCAGGUAGCGCAUCACGACCAGUGACUGAAACCCAUCUACCAGCAUCGAUGUCCGCCUUCUUGAAGAUCUCGACCUUGCGAGUGUAACAGGGGUCAAAUGGAGGUGAUUGCACCUGUCGCCUCACCAUGAGCAACUCUUGGUCGCCGCAUGACUCGACAAGGAACCUACUGGUCGUGAUACAGUCCUUGGGUUCAUAUGGCACCUCCUCGUCCUCCACAGUCUCGUCAUCACUUGGAACCAGUUGGCCAUCAUCAGGAUUGAAGCUAUCAGCUGCCUCAUCACCGGUAUCGUAGUCGUCAUCCAUCCAGCUCCACGGGUCUUCUUCACCAUCGGCUAACGGAUGCCUGAUGACUCGCUUAAAUUUGGGAAUAAUUGGACUCCCGUUGUGGUCGUCGUCGGCAACGUCGAAGGCAACUAGGUCCUCAUGCCGUGUGAUCCCGUAGAGUUUAUCCUUGAAGAAAGCAACAUCAAAGACGCCUAGGUAGGGAAGCACCAGGAUGACGGUGCAGUUGUCGUUGUUGGUGGUGACGGCGACGAGGUCAUCAGGACUAGCGGAGCGCAUGAGCACCUUGCGGAUGUCUCCGAACCCGGCUUCUCACCGACGAUGUCUCCGAGUACCUCCGUUUCCGAUCCGCGUGCAAGCCCUGGCGCAACCCGUGCACCGGCGACCCCAGCUUGUCCGGCGGCGGGCUUGACCUCCGUUUCCGAUCCGCCCUGGCGCAACCCGUGCACCGACGACCCCAGCUUGUCCGCCCCCGAUCGACACUGGAUCGCGGCGUGAAUAAAAGGGCUUUAGUCCCGACGCAACCCUCCAUGUCUCCGUACACACGAGUGGACUUGUUGAAUGAUCGGCUCAGAAAGAGUGCCUCGCCUUCAGGUAGUGUAUCACGAUCCGUGACUGAAACCCAUCUGCCAGCAUCGAUGUCCACCUUGAAGAUCUCGACCUUGCAAGUGUACUUGGGGUCAAAUGGAGAUGAUUCAUCAGCAGCAUCUGCAAUUACCUUGAGGGACACUGAGAAUAGCUUCCUGUGGUACCGUAAUCCUAGAGAGUUGUGGUGCUGUAAUCCCAGAGAGGUCGACGCGGAGGCUACUGGCGCCGAGCGGCCACCCCCCGCUGUCGGGUGCCCACAACGAGUACUGCCUCCGGAGCUCCUGGAUCUUCGGCUGGAUCCGCUUCCACACGAACUCAACCUCCACGAUGGGCGCCCCCACCGCGACGGACGAUAGUGGGGGUAUGGGGCCCGCAAGCGCUGACACCGACGUGAGGAGGUGCUCAAGCUCACAGUCGGCGGCCAUGGCGAGCAGCGGGAACGCGGGGCUUGACGGCGAGGAGGAGGAGGAGGAGAAGCUCCUGGUGCGCGGCCAUGGCGAGCGGCGGGUGUCCGGGGGCGGUGGAUGGAGGUGGAGGAAUUGCGCGAGUGUGUGCGGGAGAAAAAAUAAAACGGGAUGAAACGAACCGGUAUGUCCGUAAUUUAUGGUAGGUGGGUAAUUUUUUACCCUAAAAUCACUUGAAAACAGGGGAAGGUGCUUUUUAUUUUGUACUGGAGCAAAAGUAACUUUUGGGCAAAAGCACAUGUGGCUUUUAGGUUAGCUUUCGACUUUUGCAAAAGUAAAACCAGGUUGAAAAACUCAAUCAAAUGUACCCUAAUAAACUUGCGGACGCAGACUUAACUAUAAAACUGUUGUGCAAGGUCUGGAAGCAAGUACACCGCGGAAUUCAAAGUAUUUCUUCUGACCAACUCGCACAGGUCAAGAGCAUAGUUCGUGGCUAUUCCAAGAAAUCGUACGAAGAUAAAACCUUUUCUUCGCUACUGUCAUCAUCAGAAUGAGGUGACAUGAUUUAGUAGCUCAUAUAAGAUGUAGGCAUGUAGCGUCUAAACGACUUUAAUAGUUCGGCAUGCACCCACCCAUCAACUUUCAGUGCUCUCUUUUGUAAGGAUUAAUUCAUUGUUUAUUGUUGGCUAAAAUGAUGACCAUGAACAUAUUCUCAAGAGUUUCUGUGCCCGUUUAAGACAUUUGAAGGUUAAAGAAAGCACCAUCAACAAGAAACAGAUUUGUAAACACAGAGGGAAGGGUCAAUCUCCCCCUAUACGGAUGCAUUGAACAAACUAUUAUUGAUGCUUUGUUGUUGCCUUCUAACUAGUUCUAGUGCUGCUUGUGCGUCAAACCACGAAUUUUGGAGGGAAAAGCCAUGUCAACCACUUAUCAUCAGCCCGUAUUCUCUGCCAUGGAAGGCUAAACGGCCUGCAAGACGAGGAUCUGGUGUCGAAUACUUGGUCCACAUCCACAAAAUAUAUGCAACCCUCCUUCAUGUCUCCAUACACACGGGUGGACUUGCUGAAUGAUCGGCUGAGAAAGAGUGCCUCGCCUUCAGGUAGUGCAUCACGACCCGUGACUGAAACCCAUCUGCCGGCAUCGAUGUCCGCCUUGAAGAGCUCGACCUUGCGAGUGUAAUCGGGGUCAAAUGGAGGUGAUUGCACCUGCCGCCUCACCAUGAGCAACUCUUGGCCGCCGCAUGACUCGACAAGGAACCUACUGGUCCUGAUGUAGUCUUUGGGUUCAUAUGGCACCUCCUCGUCCACCCCAACCUCGUGAUCGCUUGGAACCAGCUGGCCAUCAUCAGGAUUGAAGCUAUCAUCGCCACAACCAUCAUCGGUAUCGUUGUCGUCAUCCAUCCAGCUCCACGGGUCUUCUUCACCAUCAGCUAACGGGUGCCUGAUGACUCGCUUAAAUUUGGGAAUAAUUGGACUCCCGUCGUCGUCGGCGGCAAGGUCGAAGGCGACUAGGUCCUCAUGUCGUGUGAUCCCGUAGAGUUUAUCUUUGAAGAAAGCAACAUCGAAGACGCCUAGGUAGGGAAGCACCCACCUCCCCUUGCCGGGGCGGCACAGGAUGAUGGUGCAGUUGUCGUUGUUGGUGGUGACGGCGACAACGUCAUUAGGACUAGCGGAGCGCAUGAGCACCUUGCGGAUCUCGAACGUCUCGUUGACAUGGCCGGCGAUGGAGUCGAGCUCGGGGAGCGACACGGUCUUUUCGUAGAAGGGGUUGUGCAGCAGGUAAUUGUGCUCGUGCUUGACGUCGCUCCUGGGCUCGAGGCAUUUGCCGUCGCGGUACGCGUCCAAGAUGUUGGUGCGCCGGAACACAUCGUCGGUGCAGUCGAGAGCGAGCCAGCUGUCGGUGGCGCCGAGGCAGGUCACGUUGCGAGGCAGGCGGGGAAUCCGGUUGAAGAAGACGCCGGUGUCGCCGAUGGUGCAGAAGGAGCCAUUGGGGAUCACGAUCCACGGCAUCGCCUCCUGCUCUUGGUCCUGCAGCUCGCACGCGACGGCGGAGUGCCAUGCGCGGCAAACGGCCCGUAAGCGGGCGACGUCGGCGUCGCAGAGGCAGGCGACGAUCUCGCCGAGGACUUCCGGCAGGAGAUCGGCCCACGCUGGAGGCGACGGCGAUGCCAUCGUCGAGCUUCUUCUUACAAUAUGUGGAUUUGAGCAAGGGAUGUUUGAUAUGCAAUGCAAUGGCAUCGUUGGAUAUAUAUAACGGCGGUGCGGACCAGAAAUAAUGAGUUAUCCCUCUUGGGAUUCGGAUUGGAAUUCACGAUCUUUAGCUUGGAUUCGUCUCGUAACCCGGCUUCUCACCGUCGAUGCCUCCGAGUACCUCCGUUUCCGAUCCGCGUGCAAGCCCUGGCGCAACCCGUGCACCGGCGACCCCAGCUUGUCCGGCGGCGGGCUUGACCUCCGUUUCCGAUCCGCCCUGGCGCAACCCGUGCACCGACGACCCCAGCUUGUCCGCCCCCGAUCGACACUGGAUCGCGGCCUCCCACUGCGCAUCCCCGUCGCGCCGCCGCCUCAUCAACAUCUGCACCGGUGCACGCGCCGAGGUCGACCGCCCGGAGCUCCUCACCCACCACCGCUUCGGCGUCUUCGAUGGUCUCCUCGUCCUCUGCGACAGGGCCACCAGCGCCGCCGUCCGCGUCCUCAACCCUCUCACCGGCGCCCUCACAAUCACCGACGUGCCGCGGUCUUCAAGGCCUUCUUCUAUACUAGCUCGAUCGGAACCACUCACGGAAGAGGAGAUGCGCCAUUGACACACUCCCAAGAUAGACGUCCCCGACCCCUCAGCAAUCAAUGACACCGCCAGCAGAAUUAUUCACGAUACAGGAUGGUGUUAGCUCCCGCAUGGAUGGUGCUUGCUGAUCAUCUAAUCCUGACACCGAACGGCGGUGAUAGUACUUCUUUGCUUCACUCAUGCAGGCUACUGGUCUCUCUCUCUCUCUCUCUCUCUCUCUAGACUUUCAGAACAGUGGUAACUUUUUACUGUUAUUUUCAAACUGUCAGUUAGAGAGAAGCUAACAAUGCUGUCCAUUUUGGCAGCCGGUCAACAAAAUCCCUUUGCUUCUUGUAUGUACACUUCAAGUUCUACUUAUCCCAAUGCAAGACGAUGAUGCCGCUCUUCCCACCAUUCAAAGGAAAAACUAGGCAGGCACUAGUGCUCCAGGAAGCUGCUCAUGCUCUCCUCUCCCCACACGCCCAGCAUUCAAAGGAAAAACUAGGCAGGUACUAGUGCUGCUCCAUCAGUUGCUGAAUGUUGAAAUGCUAAGUAUCAUACAGACACACACUGGCAAAUGUCAUACGGACAUACUGAAUUAUAGUUAACUGUGCGUUAGUCAUACAAGGAAAUAUUUGAUUAGCAAGGUAGCAAGUAACAUCGGCAUCUAGCAGAACAAAUUAAUUAGAGUUUCAUUCACAUCCCUCAGUUCCAAAAUUGCUCACAUCCCUCAAUUCCAAAAUCACAGCAAGAGAGUUCUUAAAAUUUACUAGUAUAUCCAUUCAUGUCGGUAUUUCUAAGUUACUGACAAAUCAAUCUACCUUCAAUUCAUUUAUAUGUUUGUUCUUCAUGUUCCUACAUGAAGUACAAACUUAUGAUUAUCUCCCGUUUUCUUCCAAAACUAGUACCACCAGUAUCCACCCCAAAUUGUCAAUCACCUAAGCACUAUGUGCGAGUAAAACUAAAGAUUCAAAGGUGAGGAAAGUACAAAGGAGAUCCAGGACAGGAUACGCAGAGCAGAGGAAAUCGGACCUGGAAUUGCUCCAUCAGACAUGUUACAGAGAAGCUAAAAGAUUUCAGUAUUAGCACUAGUGCCACAUCAGUUUCGCGAUGUUGAAAUGACAAAUAUCAUUAUAGAGUUACAGAAUACAGACACACUUAGUACCAUUUGCAAUGGUUGACAGGUAGGCCAAUCAGGCAUUCAGAGCAGGGCAUACUUAUUAGCAAGGUAUUAAUUACCAUUCUCAUCCCUUAUUGCCAAUCACAAUGAAACAUCUAUUGUCAAUUAUAAGUUUCUACAUUCAGCAUAAGCUAACUCUGUUUCAGAAUUCGGAUAUGUUCAUUGUUCCUGUUGUGUGAUUUAAAUGCAGCAUGUCCUAAAGAUAUCAGACCUGGAAUUGCUCCAUCAGAAUGUUAGAUAGCUAGCUAAGAUUGUUUGGAGGACCACAACCGCAAAGUUUCUGAUCCAGUAUUAUAUUAGCACUAGUGCUACAUCAGUUGCACAAUGUUGAAAUGGCAAGCAUCAGAGUUACAGAAUACAAACACACUUAGUACCAUUCGCAAUGAUUGAAUUAUAGGGAAAUCAGGCAUUCAGAGCAGUACAUAGUGAGAUUAGUAAGGUAGUACCAUUCCCAUCCCUUAUUGCCGAUCAUAAUGAAACAUCUAUUGUCCUCGCACGCACACCAACUAGGAAUUUUUUUAUUUUUUUAUUUUUUAUUUUAGCAUUUUGCAAAAAUAUAUAGUCGGAUGAAAAAAUUGCAAAACUAGGCUAUUGUCGCCGGCUGGGCCGGCGGUAAGGUGCUUCCGCCGGUCCAGGCGGCGGUAAGGAGCGAUUGGGCCGGCGGAAGGCCUUACCGCUAGUCCAGCCAGCGGUAACGGGUACACUCCUCCGCACCACACUUUUAAAAAAUCAUAACUAAUUCAUAUCAAUUCGGAUGGAGAUAAACUUUAUAUAAAAUUUGUAGAUCUCGACGAGAUCUACAACUUUGUAGUUAAAUUUUUUUCAUUUGAUGUCAUAUUGGUGCUCAAAUAAUUAACACAAGUUUCAAAUCUAGAUCUGAAACUUGUGUCGAUUAUUUCAGCAACUAAAUGGCUCCAAAUGAAAACAAUUUGAACUACAAAGUUGUAAAUCUCGUCGAGUGCUACAAUUUUCAUAUAAACUUAUUUCUAUCUGAGCUUGUAUGAAUUAUUUAUCAUUUUUGAAAGUGUGCUGACCAAUUUCAGAUCUACCGAAACUUGUGUCGAUGUUUGCUAGAUUUUUCCAAUAGAGUGCCCACGUUAGUAAAAAGAUUUUUCACCGUUAGAUCCUACCUUUGCCGCUCUGUUCUAUCCCAAUGAUGAUUUUAGCGUUGGAUAGAAGUAUUGCGAGUCUUGUGGUGGCUAUUCGGCAAAGUAAAAUAUCUGGAUUUUAUAGUACCUAGCUAGUGUUGGCUAGAAACAUCGCGAGUCUUGUGGGGGUUAUUCGGCAAAGUAAAAUAUCUGGUCAUCUCCUCAUCUUUUCCCUGUAAUAAAAGGUGGGAAGCUUGCCAUCAAUGUAUUGUACAGUCCUUCCCAAAAUACCUUUUUAUCAAACUACUGUACAUUAGAUAGAAUAUAUUAAAACAAUAGAAUAGAUUAAAAAAUGAAGAAAAUAUCCCUAAGAGAUUUGGAGGUUCUUCAUCAGAUGAAAUAGAUUAAAAUAAUGAAGAAAAUGUCCUAGGGGAUUUGGAGGCUCUUCUUAUGAACAAAUCAUGUUCCAGUCCAAUUUUGUGAUUUGCUACACACCAAAAAAAAUACACAAACAUCUAACCUAUAUAAAAAAUUACAAAAACAUCAUAAAUCAACAUGUGCAAGGAUGAUUUAUUAUAUCUUAUAACUACCCAAUGCAACAUGCCAAAUAAAUUGGAUGACAAAUAUCUAUCAGCAUCUUUACUUCCUUCCUUUGUUCACAAGAGAUGGGUACUGGGUUUGGGCGCCGGAGUCAGCUGCCAGCAUCAGGGAUAUUGGACCUAAUAGAUCAAAAAAUAACAAUUCCACACAACAUCAAAAUAAUUUGCUAAAGCGGGUUGCUGACGCCGCUUCUUUCUCCUGACGCUCCCUUGCCUCACGCUCCCUCGCUUCCCUAGCUUUCUUCUCUGCCAUCCGGUGCCCCUCCUCGUGAUCGCGGGUGAACUUGACUUUGUACAUGCCUUCCUUGAGACGGCAAGGGCGGCACCCCCACUACUCCAUCCGAUUCAACAUCUCGCCGCCGAGCGCCCCCACCCCCACCGGGGCAUCCGCGCGCGCGUUGGCUUCUCUCCGCGCGCGCGCCUGCCGCCACCGCCCCACCGGACUGUCAUCACCGUUGCCGCCCUCGAGCUCGAGCGCGUCGUUCGCGGCGGCUCCCCCCAUUGGUCGGUCCCGCCGAGCGCCGCCUCCCUUCGUCGCGUGCGUCACCGCCGCCGCCGCCGCCCGCUGCGUUGCUUGAGGAAGGAGUUGAAAGAGGAGCCUGCUGAUGGCUUGGGCCGAAUUUUCGGGUGGUAUAGAGAGGCUUUGUUUUCUCGAGGGAGGUUGUUUUAUCAGUAUACUCCUGUAGAUAACUCCUGUUAGGAAAAAGCCCAUGGGCCAGCAAUGAAUUGGGCUUCCAAAUCACUGCGGCCUGCUAACAACGAAUGAAUGCGAGCGACUUCCACUUGCACAGUGUGUAAGAUCUCCACUGUUUCCGCUCCACUCCGAUUCAGCCCCCAAAAUGGCUGAGAGAUCGCCGGCUGCCGCUCGCCACCGCUGCUGCUGGGGGCGCACCGUUGCUCUUCGACGGAGGAGACGCUCGGGUAUCUCUUGCCGGACGGAGGAACGAGGAGUGCUCCGCUUGCUUUCCGACUUCAAGCCCGAGGUUUUGCUUCGACACGGGCAGGAGGAUGAAGAGGCACCAAGGGAAGGGAAGGGACGCCCGGAGUGAGGCGGAACUCCGGCGAGGCGACGCGGAGGUGCGGAGGACCGGGUCGCCGAUCGGUAAUUUUGCAAAUGACCCUCGCGAUCCGAUUUUUUGUAAAAUACCUCUAUUAUUUUCAUUAAACCUCAGCCAUUAUUGAUCGUGAUCCGAUUAUUUGCAAAUGUCAUACGGACACACACUGGCAAAUGUCAUACGGACAUACGGAAUUAUAGUUAACUAUGCGUUAGUCAUACAAGGAAGUAUUUGAUUAGCAAGGUAGCAAGUAACAUCGGCAUCUAGCAGAACAAAUUAAUUAGAGAGUUUCAUUCACAUCCCUCAGUUCCAAAAGUGCUCACAUCCCUCAAUUCCAAAAUCACAGCAAGAGAGUUCUUAAAAUUUACUAGUAUAUCCAUUCAUGUCGGUAUUUCUAAGUUACUGACAAAUCAAUCUACCUUCAAUUCAUUUAUAUGUUCGUUCUUCAUGUUCCUACAUGAAGUGCAAACUUAUGAUUAUCUCCCGUUUUCUUCCAAAACUAGUACCGCCAGUAUCCACCCCAAAUUGUCAAUCACCUAAGCACUAUGUGCGAGUAAAACUAAAGAUUCAAAGGUGAGGAAAGUACAAAGGAGAUCCAGGACAGGACGGACCUGGAAUUGCUCCAUCGGACAUGUUACAGAGAAGCUAAAAGAUUUCAGUAUUAGCACUAGUGCCACAUCAGUUUCGCGAUGUUGAAAUGACAAAUAUCAUUAUAGAGUUACAGAACACAGACACACUUAGUACCAUUUGCAAUGGUUGACAGGUAGGCCAAUCAGGCAUUCAGAGCAGGGCAUACUUAUUAGCAAGGUAUUAAUUACCAUUCUCAUCCCUUAUUGCCAAUCAAAAUGAAACAUCUAUUGUCAAUUAUAAGUUUCUACAUUCAGCAUAAGCUAACUCUGUUUCAGAAUUCGGAUAUGUUCAUUGUUCCUGUUGUGUGAUUUAAAUGCAGCAUGUCCUAAAGAUAUCAGACCUGGAAUUGCUCCAUCAGAAUGUUAGACAGCUAGCUAAGAUUGUUUGGAGGACCACAACCGCAAAGUUUCUGAUCCAGUAUUAUAUUAGCACUAGUGCUACAUCAGUUGCACAAUGUUGAAAUGGCAAGCAUCAGAGUUACAGAAUACAAACACACUUAGUACCAUUCGCAAUGAUUGAAUUAUAGGGAAAUCAGGCAUUCAGAGCAGUACAUAGUGAGAUUAGUAAGGUAGUACCAUUCCCAUCCCUUAUUGCCGAUCAUAAUGAAACAUCUAUUGUCGAUUAUAAGUUUGUACAUGCAGUAUAUCCAAUUAACCUAACUCCGUUUCAGAAUUCAGAUAUGUUCAUUCUUCCUUUCGCAUGAUUUAAAAGCAGCAGGCACAGCACAUGAUUAUUCUUUCUUCUCCCCCAACCAACCAAACCAAUAUACCACCAAUCCAUUCCAAUUCCCUAAUAAGUAGCACUAUGUUCAUCACAUGUUUGGCGUGUACAGUUACAGAUUACAACAAGCAAGCUGCUGACUGCUGAGGAGGAGAGUACAGAGGAUUUGCAACAAUGAUCCAGCCAGCCAGAGAGGAUGGAUUUGCAGCAGGGGAGGAUGUCAGACCUGGAAUUGCUCCAUCUGGACGUCGGACGCCUUGAGCGGGACGUAGUCUCCGAGGUACACCUCGAGGUGGUCGGAGAUGCCUGCCUUGUCGAUGCUCUCGUGGUGGUAGCUCUUGCAGACGAGGUAGACGAGGGUCUGGGCGACGAGCGCGAGCAUGACGACGCAGGAGAGCGCGGCGAGCGCGAGGAGGCCGACGAGGAGCCUCGCGAGGGCCGGUGAGGACCCGCCGGCCUUGACGACCCAGGCGCGGAAGGCGAGCUCGACGACUGCGAAGACGAGGUUGAGCGUGACGAAGAUGGCCGCGGCGGUGGGCAGCUUCCCCCUGAUGAGGUCCCUGCUCUUGCGCAUGGCUGCGAAGCCCUUGUAGUCCUCGAGCACGGAGACGACGCUGGCGAGGUGCCACACGACGCUGAUGUAGACGAGUCCCACGAGGUAGGCGACGACGAGGAGGAACGCGAGCAGCCCCGCGAGCCCCGACCCGUUAUCCGCGGCGACUAGGAGCCCGAGGAAGACGACGACGAACACCGCGUGGUACGCGAAGAGGAGCGCGAAGGCCGCGAGGAACGUGGCCGCGAGCCUCCUCCACACCCGGGGCACGACGGAGAGCACCCGCGGGAAGGUGAGCGCGUCGUGCUUGGCGGAGUAGACGGAGGCGACGGAGAAGACGGCGGCGGCGGUGGCGAGGAGGGAGAGGAGGAGGAGGGCGAGGAGGUAGGCGGCCUUGAAGAGGAGGAGGGCGAGCCAGUCGGAGGCGAGGCGGGAGAGGAGGCGGCGCUGGGCGUCGGUGCCCGGGGCGGAGGAGUCGAGGGCGGUGUCGUCGGUGUCGAUGUGGGUGAAGAGCGCGUGGGAGAUGGCGACGUGGAGGAGGAAGAGGGCGGCGAGCGGGAGGACGAAGGCGGCGGCGACGCGGGCGAAGAGGGGCCGGUGCGGGCCGCGGAGGAUCGAUGCGGAGGCGGCGUAGAUGCCCGCCGCCCCCAGGAACUGCAGCUCCUCCGGCUCGCACUCCAUGGCCUCGAUCUGCGGGGGGUGGGAUUGCUUGGGGUGGGUGGGGAAGGGAGGGAGGGAUUGGGGAAUUUCCUUCUGGCCGGUGGGAAGGGGAAUGGGGAUGGAAGGCUCUGGAGGAAGGAGGAAGCGAGGCGGAGAUAGAAGCAGAGGAGGAAGGCGGCUUGCUUCUUCCCGUUGGUUGGUUUCGGAGGCGGGGUUGAUUGGGUCAAGCAAGCCCGUCAACCGAAGAAGCGAGGUGGCGACUGGUCAGCGUUGACGCGCUUACUACCAGGAGCGGAUGGAUCGUAUUGUUGUCUGAUUAAUUAGCUUGGAACUGAGAAAAUAUGCGUGUGUUUUUUAUAUUAAUCCGGGAAAUGGUUUUCUCUCGUUCACCGUGCGUUUAGGUUGUUUUAAUUGUUUUCUAAAUUUAUAAAUAUUAUUGUGUAUCUAGAUAUACAUUAAAUUAAAAAAAAUAAAAUGAUCUGCAAUUUAGAACGAGAAGGGCAGUAGAUGGUAUUAUUGCCUUUGCUACUUGCCACGACCAGCCGUACCCAAGUUACGCCAACACUAGUGCGACAGGAUAAUGCAUGCAACUUGCCACGACUACUGGGCUUGCACCACCGUGCUAUAUAUAGUGCAUCAAUGUAGGUGGCAACAACAAAGUUUGGUGGGAUUCUUUCCUCUUGUUCGACCUGUCCAAUCAUCGAGUUUUGAGAGGUAGGCUUCGGAAUUAAUUGAUACUUAGACCCUAUUUAAUUGAUACUUUUGGACUUUCUGUUUUUUUGGAUGUUCAAAAGACAAUAGUCCUCCAAAGUCAUAAGCUAUAAAAAGAAUACGUCACAUGUUGAUUCUGGCUUUUAGCUUUUGGAAUCAUUUUGACUUUUUCAACGUUCUAAAAAACUCAUAGUUCAAAAGUUUCUAGAAAUCCCCCUCAGAAAAAAAAGGUUCCUAGAAACAACAUGGCCUUAGAUGGUUGGAAUAGUACGUAGUAGACGCGUCACCGUUAAUUUUGGCAGAAUUAGCCAUUCGCAUAACAAAAAAAAAAAGGUAUGUUUUGUACACAUGCGCGUUACGCGUACGACUUUGUGCCACGAUAACACCAAAAAUGUCAUUAACUGAUUGACUGGAGAACAAUCACCAUCGUUCGGCAGUCCCUCUCAAUAACUAAUUGCGGUUGCUUAACACUAGCUAGCUAGUCCACCUGCACGUGCACACACAGUUGACACACAAAGAAAUUCAGGAAGAUAUUGCCAUGAGACAUCGAGAUAAACUCCUUAUCGAACUUUAUGUGACCUUAAACUUUUCUCCUUAAAUGAAUUACCCGUGCUCCUGCUUCGUAAAAAAAAAAAGUUGACACACAAAGGAACGCAAACCACGACAUGUACGUCGUGCCAUGCAUAAUCCUACCAUACGCCGUGUUUUUCUUUCUACAUCCUCCCUCAUCUUCCCUUCUCUUCUCUUGACCGGCAAAAAGAUAAGACUUGUGGAAUUCUAUGGCGUUUUAUGUUACGUACAAGGUGACGUAGUUUCCGCUGACUGUCCUUUCCCGCUGACGAUUAUUAUUACUGUAGCGUAUUUCACCCGUGUAGUAAAAUUGUCCACCAUCUUCAUUCUUCAGCUUCUUUUUAAUCGGGCCCCAUACAUGAAUGGACCUUUUCUGGGCCUCCGUCCACUACUCCACUGUAAUAUAGCCCAGUAACAGUUUACUCUCUCUAUCUUUCCCCGGCACCCCCCUCCCCCCCCCCCCCCCCCCCCCCCCCCCCCACACACACACACACACACACGCACACAAUUUCCCCAUCACAAUCACACGCUAGUAGUAAAAUGCACGCAUGGUCCACGUGCUAUACAAUAGUAGUACUGUACUAGGCACCUUUCAUCCGUCGGUUCGCCGGUCCCCAUCUGUCAGUACAAACCGAUACGAUCACGAGAUACACACGCAGACAUGCUCAUGCAUGCAUACAAAAAUCUCGAAAAUCCAAACACUUGUCCAGUAAAGGUGCUCCGAACCUCCUUUCAAAAAAAACGGUGCUCCAAACCAGAAAACAUACGCCUAGAAGCAAAUCUGAAAAUGCAAGGACUUUAAACCUUAUGCCCAAGCUUCAUAUAUAUGGUAAGAGCACGUGCUACAUAUAUACUCAUGUUUUCUUUCGCCAAAGAAAAAAAGGCCAGCAAAUUAUAGCCCGGUACUCCUCCAAAUUUUCAAUGUUUUUAAGCAACCGACGACGUCAAACAUGCAUCUGAGAGCGGAGGUAGUGUGAUAUCGCAGCGGACGUAGUUACGUCAAACCUGUUCAGGCCAAAGAAUAUUGGGAAAGAGCAAAUUAGAUUUUUUUUCCCACUAUUUAUGAUACGAUUAUUCACUAGUGGAAAAGUGAGCAUGAGUUCCGGUUGCGUAGGUGUCGAAAAUCGAACCAGGACUAAUCUUUCAAGAUUAAAAAUCCCCCUCGUUCCAGUUGGCACUACCAACCGGAACUAAAAAGGUUAAAAAAGAAAAAAGUGGGGCACCCCGUCCUGCUUGCUUGCGCUGCUGCCCCCUGCAGCUCCGCCUCCACCACCGUACCAUCUUAUUGAACUCCAACUCCAUCAUAGAGACAAUCAAAUCAAGAGCAAAAAACAAUUGGCGUUAACAUUGAAGCAAGAAUCAUGCUCAUCUCACAUGACCAUCACAUAAGUAAAAACACAACCAAUCAAUUUGCACAAGAUCUAAUUCACAACACAUGAUUUCGAUUCGAUUCACAACAUGCGGAGAAUUCAUCAGCAUAAUCACAAAUGAAUCAUUCACAAACAAAUCGUGCACCUGCCAACCGUCUAGCCUAGCAAACAUCACCGUCCUGUAUCAAUAGUCCUUACUGCAUGUGUAGUAGAAGAUUCCAAAUUUUCAUGCACGACGACACCGUACGAAAAUUUGGGUGGAUUUCAAUUCAACAGUCCUUAACGAAAGUUAAUAAAAAAAGACAAAAGCAUGCAGGAUAAUGUAAACCGGUCGUCGUGCAGGAGCACACACGAAGCAACCACUUCGAGAGCGCGACGCAUGCAGAAGCCCAUGCAGCAGGAAGCGAGCCUUCUUCUUCCUGGGUGGGCUUCUUUUUUUUUCUUUCCGGACCAAGUCACCGAGUCCAUGUUUUCUCGGGCCUAAACUAAAGGUGAGUUUGGGAGGGCACGUCGGUACGUAUGUGCUCCGCACGCGGAGCUGGAGCUGCGGUACUUUUUUUUUUCUCCUGGUUCCUCCACGCAGCUUCUUUUGAACUCCGGCUCCUCUACGAGAUGUUCACAAGCAGCUUCGGCGCCGUGAGUCCGUGACCGUUUGGCGCGGAUCCGCCGGCUUCUCCGUGCCUUGGCGAGCGUGCGGAGCCGGAGCUCCGGCUCCCAAACAGGCACAUGGUUGGGUGCGUGUGAUUUGCUUUGGCGAUUAUUUUUCUUUUCAUUUUUUUUAGGGCAGUUUCCACCUUUUUCUUUUGGGCGUGUCCGCUGGUCGUGGGUUGGCUCCAAAAAAGGCAAAAACGAAGCGAUGCGCGGUGCGCGUGGGCGUGGCGGCACUUCCUUCGAUCCUCCGCCUCCGCCAUGGUCAUGGCGCACGCCAAGCCCACCGCGCACGAGACCUUGCCGCCGCCGCCGCCGCCGCUGCGGCUCCUCGUCCUCCUCGCGCUCCUCGCCGCCUCCUACCUCGCCCUCACGCGCAUCCCCGCCGCCGCGCCUCUGUCCGCGCUCCUGAUCGGACGUCAACCUCUUCCUCCUCCUCUUUCUGCUCCUCCUGCGCCCCUCCUCAGCAGCAAAAGCAGCAGCUGCGCCGGGUUCUACGCCGGCGCGGGCCCGGCGCGCGCGGUGGCGGCGUCGGUGGAGGAGUUCGGCGCCGUGGGCGACGGGGUCACCUCCAACACGGCGGCGUUCCGGCGCGCGGUCGCGGACCUGGAGGAGAGGGCCAGAGGGGUCGGAGGAGGAGGAGGAGGAGCCAGGCUGGAGGUGCCGCCGGGGAGGUGGCUCACCGGCAGCUUCAACCUCACCAGCCGCUUCACCCUCUUCCUGCACCGCGGCGCGGUCAUCCUCGGCUCCCAGGUGCCCCCCCUCCUCUCAUGUCCUGGUUUAAUUCCUCUCCCCUUCUUCACCUGCUCGUUUCAAUUCUGAUUCGAUUUCUCGUCUCCUUAUUACGAACAUUGCAACCGCAACGGAUUGGCUGCACAGCUAGUGGUUUGAAAUUUUCGCGUUUCAGCUCAAGCGCACACCAAAAUGCGUGCGUAAUUUGUUGUCCAAUCACCAUGGAUAGUUGCAUAUUACGAUUCAUCGGUUCAGAAAUUGCUCUGCCAAAACCUGCAUAGCGCUUGGAAUAUCGGUUCAUGUUCUCGUCGGUUGGGUUGCGCGUCUCAAAGUCAAAACCAGCUGCGUGUUUUCACAUGCCACGAUCCGUGGGAUCAAUAAAGAAGAAGGGGAGAAGAAACAGGGGGGAGCUGAUGUGUUGGAGGAGUCACAUGCUUGGACGGCCCGGAGACUGACUGCUGCUCUGGUUCCUUGUGACCUCUGCCACCACAUUUGAUAUUAUUCCAAACCCACUGUACCUUUGCCUUUGUCCCUACUGCUGCCUGGGACUGGACUGGCCCCCAGUUGAUGCCUCCUUGUACUUUACAUUGCUUCCACUCCCGUCUUAUCUGUUUGUGCUAAAGCCAAUAGAGGGUCACACAAAAAUCUCCAGUUUGGAGCUUUGUGCAGGAAGAACCAAUCCCCAUUUCUUGGUCCAUCUCAUAGCCAUGCCAGCGUGACAAUCUGUACGGACUAUGCAGGAUUAAUCUGUACCGACUAAUCAGGAUAUGGGGCAGUUUAACCUGCCCGAAUGCACUGCACUCAUUAUUCAUGUGGAGGUGGUUCAGUAGGAAUUGGUUGCAAAGGAGCUAUAAUUGAGAACGUAGCAGUUCUCCUGCUAAUUUCGCUUUUUGAAAAAAGGAAAGCACAAGUACAUGGGAACGCUCAACCAUAAUCAAGAGGUUUAGUUUGGUACGACGCCCUUUCACAUGUUGCUGCCCACAGUGCAAUCACCUUCCACAUGUUUAGUUUUGUGAAUGUCUUUCAGAAGUAGGCGGCUCAGUGUUCUUAGGAAAUUCAUGCUUGGUUUCCAACUAAUAAAUAUUGCAAAUGAUGACAGUUCCCAUAAACUGGUAUAGGAGAAGAACUUGCUGGGAACUGGUGAGUUUCAGCUGGAACAAACUCAUAAUUGCAAACCUGAACAAUGAUGCCGGACGCCUUACGUUUUUUUCCCAGCUAAUGCCAAUUCCAAAAACACUGUGCCCGCAGAUCUAUGCCUAGUUUGUUAUUGCAUUUGUUUGAACCAAGGCAAGCAACAUUCACAUAGAAAGACAGUUGCAUGAUCUGUACUAUACUGUAGGCUCAUCAAGUCAAUAUAAUACCGACAUGAUGGCAUUAUAAUACCAAUAGGAUAGCAUGGGUAAACAAUCUUUAAGGGGACUAUGUGCUGGAUUCUAUAGAUUGAAUAUUUAUUUUUUUUCGAGAAUACGAAGGAGAGCUGCGUAUCUUUGUAUUAAGAAGAUGAACGUUCGAAAAAGUUUUAGUACAACGCGGGCUGACCGGGCGCACGCACACGGCAACGUACUCUAGGAGUUUAACUUAGAUUGAAUAUUUAUGUAUUCACAUUUAAGUAGACGAAUGUCCAGCACUUUACAAUUGUGUAUGCUGAUUAUAAAACUGCAUAAUAUUGAUUGGCAUGUUCGACUGAUAUGCAGGAUCCAGAAGAGUGGCCUCUCAUUGCUCCUUUGCCAUCUUAUGGGCGUGGAAGGGAACGCUUAGGGCCACGGCACAUCAGCCUCAUUCAUGGAGAGGGCUUAAAUGAUGUUGUUGUUACUGGUACGAUGACUUCUUAACUAUGUCUACUUUAUUUCAAGAUUCAUUAACAAAUCAAAAUUUGCAUGGCAAGGUGGAACUGAAACAAAGAUUAGUGAUGGAGUUAAACGAAAUCGUCUCAUUUCAACAAUGGCAUAGACUUAAAUUUUAAUUGAUGAUAUCGUAUCUAAGGAUUAGCGUUGAUUUAUAACUUAAAAAUUCCCUUCCCAAAUAUCAGGCAACAAUGGGACCAUAGAUGGCCAAGGAGGGAUGUGGUGGGAGCUGUGGUGGAAUCGAACUUUGAACCACACAAGGGGCCAUCUCGUCGAGCUUGUGAACUCAAGCAACAUCCUAAUCUCCAAUAUCACACUACGCAACUCCCCAUUCUGGACAGUGCAUCCAGUCUACUGCAGGUCAGUUUACCAUGUACAUUCUUGCUCCAUUUCCUAACAGGAAAUGCUUCUUCAUUUUGAUUCUAUUAAAGCCAAGUAUUGAGCAGGAGAUUUCUUUUAUGUUUAUUUAUCAGCAACGUGGUGAUGAAAGAUUUGACCAUACUGGCUCCACUGAAUGCUCCAAACACUGAUGGCAUUGAUCCAGGUUUGUGCUGUUAUUUUCAUCACCUUUUCCUAUUAUCUUCUUCGUUCUGAUAAUUGAUCAAUUCAAACAGCUGCAUCUCAUGGUUUUCUAUACAUUUGGGAUCUUUAGCAGCUGGAAUGUUUCAUAUCCGUAUGUCACUACUGAUGACCUUGCCAAUCUCUCUUGAUGAACAAUGACAGAUUCGAGCUCAGAAGUUUGUAUUGAGGACUGCUAUAUUGAAAGCGGAGAUGAUCUGGUUGCUAUCAAAAGUGGCUGGGAUCAGUACGGGAUCUCUGUUGGCAAACCGAGUACAAACAUUGUCAUACAGAGGGUUUCAGGCACAACUCCAACAUGCUCAGGUGUUGGCUUUGGAAGCGAGAUGUCAGGAGGCAUAUCUAAUGUGCUUGUCCGCGAUCUGCAUGUGUGGAGUUCUGCUCAAGCCGUGAGGCUCAAGACCGACAUAGGGCGCGGUGGGUACAUAACCAACAUUACCAUAGUGAAUGUGACGAUGGAGAAGGUCAAGGUCCCGAUAAGAUUCAGUCGGGGUGCGGAUGACCAUUCAGAUGACAACUAUGACCGAACCGCGCUGCCAAGGAUCAGUAACGUGCUCAUCAGCGACAUUGUGGGUGUAGACCUGCAGCGUGCGCCGAUGCUGGAGGCAGUGGCCGGCGCAGUUUAUGAAGGGAUCUGCUUCCGAAAUGUUAGCUUAAGAGGCAUAAGGCGGCAGGAUAGAUGGCAUUGUGAGUCCGUGUAUGGAGAGGCACGUGGAGUUUUUCCUGCACCCUGUGAAGAGUUCAGGAGCAAUGGAUCUUCAUCAUGGUGUGGAUUUUCAUGAGCAACUGUGAGUUUUCUAGUGACUGAUACAGGCAGGAAUACUUGAAAAAUGGAGGGUGUUCAUACUGGUGUUCCAAGAAGGGAUAGGACAUAGGGUUUUGGGAUAGUAUAGUCAAAUUCAACAUUUUAACUUUAGUCUUCAAUUUUACAAGGGGGGUUACAGACAACAUGUUUGUGCAGUACUGCAAAGGGAAAUGAAGAAUUAAUACAGAAAAAAGUUAUUUUCUGGUCCAUUUUCCUACAUGUGAUGGUGCUAUGUACUAGUUCUUGAAUCCUUCAUCAUGUUAGGCAGUAUUCAGUCUGAAUCUAAUCUUCGUCUUCUUUUAAAAGAGGCCUGAAUCUAAUCAAUCUGUUUACUCCGUGUGUUUAAUUACUGCGCUUAGAAUGUUUGAAAUCUGGAGCGCGGUAAACGGAACUUCUUCGCCCCCGCGUCGUCCGCACGGGGCGGCUCCGGCGGUUCCCCCGUCCUCAGCAGCCCUCCCACGCUGGACGCAGGUGGCACGUCACGUCAGCUUGCAGAACGGGUCUGCAACGGGUCAAAGCUCGUUUGGAUCUACGAUGGCACCCAAAACCAAGUUUAAAGUUGACCCAAAACCAAGUUUAAACCAACUUUAGUAACCUGAUUCUGCAAUUUAAGAGGGUGAGGACCUAAAUGACACACCUUGACAAGUUAGAGGAUCGACCAUGUAUUUCACUCUUAAAAAAAUGUUUGAAAUCUACAGCAACAGGUCAGGCUAAUGGUUUACGCUUUGGGUCAAACGCUAACGCUUGUAUAUGUACGCCUAACUGAAAGUCUGAAACCCGGAUCUGCUGCCGUAAUUAUUCAGACUGCUUGCAUCAUGUACGCAGUCUGGAUUAAUCACUUGAUGACGCAUCAUGCAGGUAAGUCGUACAUACGUGAUACGUCCGUCACUGAAUCUGUAAUCUUUUUCACUCACCAUUUGUUUUUGUACUACAUAUGGAUGAUGUGGAGCGUUGUUAUUGGACAAAAAAUAAUCCAUUACAAUCUUUCAGUCGAUUUUUUUCUCUCUUCCUUGGUCGUCCUCCUGUUUUCGGCUGAGAUUUCAAUUUUGCAUCACUCAGUCUUCUGGGCUUCUGGAUGUGCUAUGCGGGUCUGUGGGUGUGGCACGUCGGGCCGCAUCGAUCGGUUCGCCGCCCACCAAAAAGCCCAGGUUGCCCACUCCCUCCAUUUGCUUGCCCGGGCCCAACCAGCCCAGCGACUGCCGGCUGGUCUUUCUGUGCAAAGCUCGCCUUUCCAUUUAAAAAAAAAGCCCAACCAGCCCAGCAAGCGAACCCUCCUAACCCCCCCCCCCCCCCCCCCCCCCCCCCCGUGCCCGAGUCCGUCCCCACCUCCAUCCAGCUCGCUCGCUAGGGUUACCUUACCGCCGCGCCGCCCUCUCUCUCAUUUGCACUCGCCUCUGCUUCUCCAUCUCGUUCACGCCGGCGGAGGACCCUCUCCCACUCGUGCUCAUCGUUCCCCUCGCCGUCAGUUGCUCCACCGCCGGGCUCCUCCGCAGCUUCUGGUGGUACACCCUAGAUCUGUUGUAUUUUUUUCCUGCGUGGCGCGGAUCUGUGGUGCGAGGCUGGGAUUUAUGCAUCUCGUUUCCUUUUGCUUGUUAAUUGUUGUAUGAGCUGCGACACCCUCAACCAGGCCUUGUCUGGCAUGGUUUGCGCAACCUUUGAUGUUCUUGCUGCUUGUUCCUGCUGCGUUGCGUUGUUCAACUGCCUGAAAAUUAAACAUGUUGUACGGCUGAUGGUGGCCUCCUUUGUGAGCUGCCAAAAUCCAAAAAAAGGAUAGGGUGUUCAACCGACCGCCCAUGUCCAACUUAAGUCCGCCCGUGGUUGAGUAGUGAAGUAGGGGUUAUCACUCAGGAGCAUCUGUGAACUUAUAUUUUGGAAUUUGUGUGCCUGCACUGCACAUGUAUUCUCGGUAGAUGAUGCAAUAUAGCUAUAAUGCUGGCUUCAUUAGCCGGUUUCAUUUCAUGCAUGGAUGAUGUGUUUUCUGUUUUUUUUUAUGCAGUUGCUAUUGAGUUAGCACUGAAUAAGACACUAGGUUUACCCGAGCAUCAUUGUGCAGUUUCCAAGAUGGCUCGCCGAGGAUUGAUGGAACAGGACUUAAGCAAGCUUGAUGUGACAAAGCUUCACCCAUUGUCACCUGAAGUUAUCUCACGCCAAGCGACCAUUAACAUUGGUAUGGAUCCAAUCCUGUUACUCCUGUGGAUUCAGCAAGGCCUAUGUGUAGUAUUCAAAUUUUAUGCAAAGAGAAGCCUCCUACAUUGGCAUAACAUUCUUCUAUAUCUCAGGUACCAUCGGCCAUGUGGCUCAUGGAAAGUCCACUGUUGUGAAAGCUAUUUCUGGAGUUCAGGUGUGAUUCGCAUUCGACAUAUUCCAGUAUCACAUUUUCCUUCCAAGCAUUGACUCUGCAGUAACUGCUUAUGUGUUCUCCAUGUUACUCCAACAUGUGAUGAUUAGACGUGCCUUUUAGAGUUUGGUACAUUAGUGGGCAAAUU